AAGGGAAAAGCCAAUAACCUAGACUUAGAAAGCGCCACAACUCUACUAUCUUCUUCUUCCCCAAACAAUACUUUAGUUCUGAACCACCACUAGCUGCUGAAGAAUUAAGGGAUUAUUACCCAACCGUAAAGAAUGGAAUGGAAUAAUAACAGCCAAGCGCUCUCACGCCAACUGCAGUAACUCCUUUCAUACCUUAACUCAGGACUAGAGCAUCUCAUCUACCUAUAGGAACUAAUACUUAUUGAAACAACCUGCUUGCUGCCGGCUUAUCACUUGUAUAUGAAUAAGUCCUGUGUGAGCCCGCCUAUGGCUCUUCUCUUGCCCACCUCUGGUAUUCUAUAUUUGUUGCUCUAGUAGCUGGGCUUGGCCCGGAGCAUUAAGUUUCAGGUCGAGGAAUAAGAAAGUAUCGGCUUUGUUGCGAGGUGUGGUCUAGGAAAGUGUGACUUUUGUUAAGCAAUGAUCAAUAUUACACUUGGAUCUUUAGUGCCCCUGUAGAUAACUCUUUAUUGCCCGAGUAUAUCUUGUAUAUAAGAGAGUCAACCGGUAUUCUUUAUUUGUUGUCAGCAGGGUUUCUCCGUCCACUCUAUUCUUAUUUCUUAUUGGCUGCCGACCUCUGUCUUCUGGAAGUGUAUUGCCAGGUCCAGGUCACAGGUCAUUCUCCAAUCCAAGCAUGGUAUCGAACCGAUCUAAGACAAAGGUCUUCUACUAAUAAUCAUAAGGGACCAGACUUGCCCAGUGACUUGGCUCUCCCCAACUCUGUAGAAAGCCCUGCUUGAUCUUCUAUGCUAACUUAAUAAGGCUCCUAUCUCUAUUUGCAGAGUAAAGUACAGGCUAGGCCCCUAUAGUAAGUUGCAGAAGCUAGUUCAAAGGCAAGGGAAUCAAGAUCAGAUUGAACUCCUGGGUCAAGGUAUACACUCAAAAUGCACUAUCACAUCACUGUAGUGGUUGGAUGGGAAAUAGAUCAUGGAAACUAGGAAACUGUCCUUAUAAGUCAUCUAUUCCUAACAUCUUGAUGGUUCGCACUUGAAACAGGAAUUGCGGAUUCUCUGUCUGCCCUUUCUUCUUCCCCGACCUAUCCUUGAAGACAAUGAAGACAGGCGAAUACCAACGAAAGGACUUGUUGUAGUAUAUUGCCCCAUUUCAUCUUUCAUAAGAGAAAAUGCCAGGGGUGAAGGUUAAAGAGCUGUAUCCAGAGUUUGAGCAGGGGCAAGUAAAGGAACAAGCAAAUCAAGAUACAAGUAAAGACAUUAUCCGUAUACCUUAAAAAGCUCUAUACCAGGUGCUCUUUCUCCAAAGUCAGAAUCGAAUUGAUAUCUCCUUAUGCGCUGUACCUUAUUUCUAUUAGAUUUAUUAUUGUAUUUCUAUUAGAUUUAUUAUUGAUUUCGAAAUUGAGAAGCGGAGUAGCAUUCCCUUAUUGAAUAGAAUAGUUAUCAGCACCAACAGGAUAAGAGGAGGAUUCCAGUCUUGGCUUAUAGUCUCUUUCCGUUCUUUAUUCAACAGUAACGGGAGGAAAUAGAAUCAUUUGCCAGGGGGGUCUCAUAGAUGAGGGUGACUAACCAUGCACUCUUCACUAUCCAAAGUCAGAAUCAAACGAGCUACUCUGUAAGAAUUGAUCUCUUUAUAGGCAACCGCCGCGCUCCUUCCUUUAUGAAUAGAGUUGUCACUAAAGAAGAGAGGGUCCUCUACUAAAGAAGAGAGUUGACCGGUAUUGCACUUAAGAAUAUCGUUUACUUAGCACCGUCGGAAUCACUAGAGUCAAUUGAUAAACAAGAGCUUAACUAGUUCCAUUUCGCCUAUACACACAAAGUAUAAGAAACCCUAUCAAAUUCUAUCUUCUCCUUCUAUAGGAAAAGGAGGAUAAGAAUUCCGCAAGUAAUAAUUUCGCUAAGUAGUCAAAGAAUUCAUAUAGAAAGUGGGCAAGUCAGAGUGGACCUCAAAAGUCAGAGUUUACCUAGCUCUCGCCAACCUAUGCACUCCUUCCUUUCAGAAUAGAGUUUCGCCUGCAUGAGAACUCUUCUGUUAUCAAUAGGAAUAUCAUCCUUAUAGAAACACACGGGUCAUAUACGCUUCAGAUCUAAAUAAAGCAGAUAAUAUUUCUUCACCUGCCACUAGUGCCACUUAUAUAUCUGCAACUAGAGCAGGUAAUUAAUACACUCACUUUAUAACUUUCACUGGUGAUUCCACUGGGUAUUCAACAGCCAAGCUACGUAUACAAAGGCAUUAACUACUCAACUCACUGUUUACUUAUACUUGUUCUCGAAAGAAAAGAGAAGAUCUUCAGUGCAAGAAAGGAAAGAUUAUAGGCGUCAAAGCAUUAGUUGACUCGACUCGGCAUCAGGUAAGGGAGUUGGGUUAUUGACUUGUUGAUCUACCCGGUGCUCCAUAGGUGAAAUUCUUGACCUCGCCUCUGGCUCUUGCUCCUGUUAGUGCUUCCUUGCCAUCUUCAACUUACUAUAGAGGCCUCGCCUUCCUCCGCUUUGAAACUGGUAGCAAGGUGCUGAAAGCCGGACUGCUUUUAUUCUUUACUUCAGUACUAUAAGGAAGGUAACUUCCCGCUUCAAAGCAUGCAAUUGAUUCCUCCCUUAUAACAACUACUUUGAGGGGCUGGAACAACACUUUCAACAAAUCAUUCCACUCACCCAUCUGAUCCAGUAGAUUAUCUCUGUGCCAACCUCUGAUCUUAGCACUACACUACUUAUGUAUCUUAGUAACCAACAAAUAAGGAUUCCACAACUAAUGAAGGGGAUGUCACUCUGGUAUUUUAGUAACAUUAUUAUAUAUGCUUAUUUUAGUUAAAGUCAUUUUAGUUACACCUCGCCGAAGAAACACUCUUUCUUUAGUAAUCUACCGCAGAGUGGGCAGUUGAUCUACUCUUUGGAUUGGACCCCUAGCCGAAUAAAGACCACUUUUACCACUACGCCCACUGAAUGACACAAGCUAGGACGAACGGUUGACUUUCAUCGAACUGAUUCUUCUCUAGGCUCGGCUUUCUCGAACAGAAAGAAACACCACAAUCAGAUCAGGCAAUAAGAGUAAACGAACACAGGACUUAUAGUAAUUUGAUGAAACUAGCCAAGCUACUACAGUUCAAAGAGCCAACAACUCUACUACUUGUUUAAGUGCUCCUUAAGUCUAUUCUGUAAAUGGAAUUGGGCUAUACUAAUGGAAUUGUGCUAUACUAUGAAUAAGGGCCUUCUAGUCAUUUGGGAGCUAAACUCAUCAUUCUACCCAAACAAGAACAGUAACGGGGCAAGCUACCACUAAUAAUAAUAAUCAUAAGAGAUCUACUAAUAAGAUACUCAGAAUGUUCGGCUACUAGUAACUUCAUUCGGCUCCUAUACCAGAAUUCUUAUCCUCUAACUCAGGCUCAUCUAACUAUGUCAACUAAUACUGCUAUUGCUAACUAUGUCAACUAAUACUGCUAUUGCUAACUAUGUCAACUAAUACUGCUAUUGCUCCUAUACUAUUUGCUAUCAGCCAAGAAACUAGGCAAGUAGACAAGCGGACACAAGUCAAAGAAUUCACUGACCAUAUCCAUACUCCGGGUUUUAGUGACUUCCAGAAAGAGACUUGACUUCCGUACUUAUAGCUUAGCUUCCUAUCCUCUUUAAUUCCAGUGGAUUUCUUUCCUCUCCUCUUGCUCUUUCAACUAACCCACUCCUGUUCGUUUUCCACUUUUUUGCCUUCUUCUCCUCCUUUUUAUACCUUCCUUCGGCUUAUCUAACUAAGGCUACUAGAACUAUCCUAUGGCUACUACUACUUAUAAAACGACUCUACUACUAGUUAGCAUUACGACUCUACUACUAGUUAGGAUUCCACUCGCCCCCCAAGAGUCUAGUCCACUUCCCUCUCGUCAAUUACAGGACUAGCAACUCUCAACUACACUUUAAUAACUUACCUCCGACUUAAUAUAAGGGAAACUCAUACGGAUGAAACUACUCUACUACACCUCUUGCUCAUCCCAAGUCCUUUGUUCGCCAACCACUGCUACUGAGACUACAACCAGUGCUAGCAAGAAUCCACUAGGGAGUGGCAGACCAAUAGAAAGGAAAGUCAGCCCUAGGGACAGGAAAGACAGCUUUGAAGUUGGUAGUUGGCAGGGUGAAACCCAGACUUAAGGGAAGUUCAGUCACAAUCAAAGACAGGAGACAUAGGUUUGGUACCCGCCCCCAGGUAGUAAGGCUCCAAGGUAAGUGUUAAAGAAUCCGAUUUCGCUCUAAAGUCUGUAUUUAUUAAUAGGUGGUGAAAGUAUCGUUAUGCACUGUUGAGAGCCUAGUGCCUCGUAAUCAAUGCCCGGUUUCUAGUAUUAUCAGUAACAGUGGCAUCCUUGGCUGUAGUCAAAUAAGCCUUAUACGGGUUGGAGUAUAAGUUUUCAGUUGUCAUAUGAAUGUUAAGAAUAGAGUUUGUCAGCACUAGCUCUAGUCUUGUUAUAGCACUAGUGCAAGUCGGAGUUUAGAGCAAAUGAGUCUUGUUAGGCAGUGCUUUUCUUCUUAGUCGAGAGAAAGAGUACUAUAGCGGAUGCGCUUUGACUUUUCACCUGAAACAUCUAAGGUCGUAUCUCCCCGCUUUUAACCUGAUACCAUUGCUAACAGGAAUGGAACUACUAUCGACAAGAACUGAACAAGCAGUAUAAGAGUCAAACCGGCUUCCAAUACUUUCUCCUCGAUUAAGGGCAGCUUUAGAUGGCUAGUGAUAACAAUAAUCGUACGGGUACAACGAUAGAACCAAACUCAACAGUAGAGGAAUACUAGUAUAAACUGGGAAUUUCACCCGAGCUAACAAGACUAGAGCCGAGUACAGUGAACUCAACUCGGGCCCUUAUAGUAAGUUGUGAGUCAAACACUGCCUAGCAAGACCUAUACUGCUACUAGCAUGAAUCGAACCUGGACUAACAGGACAUUCACUUUGGAGUUAGAAUUCCACUAUAGCCUCUAAGACUUUAACUACUACCAACAAGAAUGGAGCUAGCGCCUAUUAAUCCCUUGCUUUGAAACUGGAUCUCGUCUUUGGUUCCUCUACUCACGCCUCGCACCCUUAAUAUCCUGACUUAAUAGAAUUCUGCCAUGUAUUACUCUUUUUCUGGCUUUUUAGCUAGGAUCUACCUUUCCUACCCAUUAUUCAAAGAGGUGUGCUACUUACUUGUAUUGAUAAUAUGAAUGAUAUAGUGCAUACAAGGGCAGCUUUAGAUGGCUAGUGAUAACAAGGCUAUGGGGGAGUCAAUAGGGAAUUUCAACUGCCUAACACAAGGUAAACUACUGAAUGAAACUAGGUUCUCUAAUACUUUAACUAUAAACAGAGCUUUCACUAUCAUCUUAUUAGAAUAGAACCCAUGCUAGCAGGACCUGAAAUAGCAACUCUGGGAACCCGAACGUCACUUUCAGAAUGGAACUACUACCAACAAGUCAGAUAUAAAGUUAGCGCCCAUCUAAUAUGCAUUGACACUCGCAUUCUCACUAUCCUUGUUUGAAACCUGAAACUCCCAACCUGAACUAACUCCGUCUCUAAAAGAUUCCACUAUUGCACUGACGCUCUGAACUCGAAAACGAACUACUUGCAUAGAUGACCAAGCCUGACUCGUUACUUUCGAUCCUACUCCUUGAUCUUCAUCUUACUAGCUAUUCUCGGCUAUCACUCUGACUUUAUCCUCUGCCUUUACUGUAACUCAGUAUGUCCCUCUUGCCUUCCGUUCUUUAGUUCAACCCCGAUUCUUCCACUCAUAUCUUUUACUCGGACUUAUUCAUUUCAUUAGAGUAUUCAGUUCACAUAUAUAAUAUUAUCUUCUAGUUUAUUAGGGAAAUUUGGGUAAAAAACAGCAAGUUCUAUUUCGAUUUUGGUAGAAAACCCAGCUUCUUCACAUUUAUUUGAGACUAUUUGUGCCCGUACCUCGCCUAGUUGCCCGUGCCUCUACCCUGGGUGACUUCUUCAUUCGUAUGUUCACACCUUUGAUUCUUCCACUCAUGCCUUAAAGUAGGGCUUGUUAAGGUUAGUCUUCUGAUCUACCUCGCUGUCCUCGCUCCACACCAAUAAUUCUUUUACUGAUUAGUUCGAUCUCCUAAGUUAGUAUUGAUUCUUUUACAGCUUGGUUCAAUUCUGUGACUCCCUAGUUGGAUCAGUCAUCCUAUAAUAAGAUAAUAUAUAAUUUAGUAGGGAAAUAGUAGUGAUCAGAGCCCAACUAAUCUCUCUUUGUUUUUCAUUGAAUUAAGCUAUUCUUACGGUGUUAAGUCUACUCUCCUCUUUAGAAAUCAACUACUCGCUUGCCCUCGCCGAUUAGCUUUUCUCUUUCGAUCUUUCGAAACUUGAUUCUUUAAUAAUAACAGAUAUAAUUUAUAUAGCUUCUCUUAUACUGUACUUACUUAAGGCUUUCUUUCCUUACCGAAUUAUAUCUUAGGCCUGAGUGAAGGUAUUCAAUGAAAUACUUUUCGUUGCGAGUGUCUUUCUAAACAGAAUCCUUAAUAAAGUCAUAGUUCUUUUCUGCUACUGAGUGUAUACUGUGUUGGUAUAGGAGAAAGAUAUCCCUUGUGAUGCGGCAGGAGUUCAGGGUUCAAUAAAUAAUGCAAUUAAGCAGCUUAAGGUUGGAGCUAUAAAGAGUAUAGGGCUGGAUUAGUGGGUGAAGUCUCCUAAGGGGUAGCUGGAUUCUUACAAGCAUGGGGUUCAUUCCGGGCUUCCAGUUUUCUUAUUGUUAUCAGUAGCUACAUUCUCUUAUUGGUAUAUUAACAAAUAAGAUGGUUCUUAUUGCUUUUAUUUAUUAUGAAACUACCUGCCCCGGCUCCUAUUCUAUUGCAGUGGUUCGUACCUUGUUUUUAUUACUUCUAUUUUGGGUUUCCUUAUUUCUAUUCCAAUAGAGCAGCCGUUGUUCCCGGUUUUGAGUUGAGUUCACUGGGUUCCAACACUGUGGAUAAGUCUGUUAGGCAUUAUUGGGUUGAUUCCUUACAGUAGUAGUUAGUCUUUCCAAUAGUAGCGAAAGACCCCUUAUAAGCAGUAGUUACAUCCAUGUUAGCACUAGUUCAAUCCUUCUCCGUGCAGUAGUUACAUCCCUGUUAGCACUAGUUCAAUCCUUCUCCGUAGUGAUCCAAUUCCUUAUGAAUAAGAGAAAAGAUCUUUCUCCCCCCCACCGGGGUUACAGAAUACAAGUGAGGAAGAGCAGUCUCAUAGGCAUUAAUGAAAGUAUCCGACCCUAGAAUCCAAGUUAUUAGAUCCAUUCCCAUCAGUAGUAUCUCAAUUCUCCGUUCCGAGCAAAGGUCUCAUAAGCACCAGCACUACCCAAACCCCAACUAGUAAGUAACUGAGACUACCCGAGUGAAGUCCGCUGCCCCAGUUCCAGUUCUAGGUUAGGAGUAUAGAGAAGCUCUUGGGGUGCUCGCUAGCUUCAUAAGAGUCUCCUUUCCUUCUGUUCGAGUUAAGUAUACUCGAGAAUAAGUAGCAGCUCCUCACGCGCAUGUGUCAGCAACAAUACAUUAAUCCAGUUUUGUUCUAGUUUCUUCCUAUAAAAAAGAAGAUAUCAUUUCAAUGCGAGUUUCAUCGUAUUAAUAAUGGAAAAACUUCAUGAUCAACUGCCCACGUAGCUCCCGACGAAGAAAGGACUUGCUCCAGGUGAUGAAAACGGGACGGACUUUCAACUAACUAACUAAGAAAGUAAGCAGCAAUCGGUUAUGAAAAGGGAGUGCGAAAGUAAGCAGUAGAAUGACUCGUUUAAGUUGAGUUAGCUGGAUCAGGUGAUAAAUCCAGAUCUGAGGUAUUAGAGAUAGCAGCAGUUCUGGUUUUCACGAUAUUCAGAAGCCAGAGAAUUCGCAGUAUCAAGUCAAGUUCAUCUUAGAAACAAAACAUUAAUGAAAGAAUGGAAUCUAGCCUAGCGUUCAUAGCAAGCAACCCGACCUUAUAGUAAUUCUCCGUUAGCGCACAACUCGUUCCAUCAAAAAGGGAUGCUGUGCUGAGUAUAGAAUAAGGGUUUUGUAAGAAUCUAGUUCUAUAUGAUCUCGGUGUGGUGGUUCAGAAUAGGUGUAGCGGUGAAGCAUCUCCGGACUUUUACCUUUGACUUGGAUUCUUUAGUGAUUGACUUUCAUCGUAUUAUAGAAGGAAUCAGAAGCUUAGCUCCCGAUCAAGAAAGAACACUUUUUCCAAGUCAGGAUAUAAUGCAAGCUCAGCGGGCAGGAAAGGAUAGUUUUGGGAAGUUUCAGUUGAAGGAGAUGACUGUCUUGCUUGUGCCUAAGUGUCAUAAAGUGGAGUUCAAAUGUCGGUAAGUUAAUAUGUUUCAUCCUAUCUGGCUUUUGUUGCGGGAAGUGAAUAAAUGUCAUCCAAGAAAGUAUCUAUAAGAAGCGGUUAAGGUUUACGUAACGUUAAGAGAAUUCAGAGAAUCAAGUUUAGUGGAUCUCUCUCGGUAUAGUGGAUCUCUCUCCCCCAAAGUAGACUCACCUAGACUAAUAAGAGUUUGGAGGCCUAGACUGGUAACCCUGGUCACUCGUCAAUUGAUUGAUACCUUACUUUAUACUUAUCCAAGCAACGAGAACGAUUGGGACUGCUCGAUAAAGGAGAUGUCAAUGCGGGUACCUCGAUGAAGUAGAUGUCAAUAUGAUCCUCUCUGAUCUUCUGCGCUCGUCCAAAAAUGCAUUCUUUGAAAAAGGGUCGGUUGAAGGUGAAAGUGUUGCGAUCAGAAGUCGAAUCCCAGUUAGAAUAUCUUCUUACUGUACUGUGUAAGCGGGACGAAGCGGGAAGUCAAGGAGAAGUAGGAAAUGCCUGUGGUGCUCGAGGAAAGUGAAACUCGACUCUACUCACUCGCUUUUAAAGCCAUAAGUUAGGUUAGAUAUGCUCCGUUUGUUUCCCGCUCAGUAGGUGGAGUUGGACAUUCUGGGCCAAGCGUAUACUCGUAAAGGAGUCCGGAGUGAAAGGGACUGUUCAACACACUUACAUUCUAUAUAUCAUAGACUCAAUAUCAAAUCAAUAAGAACAAGCAGCAGCGCUAUAACAAGCUUAGGCGCCAACGGGAAGGGUAAGAUAAUCUACUGGAGAACAAGAAUCCGCAGGAGAAGGGUAAGACUCCUUUUCAGAAUCAUUAAGUUGCACCUCUACGACAAAGACUUUCAAGGAAAUAGACUCUAUUGAAGUCCACUCGAUAAGGUAAUAAUCAAGGUUAAGGGGGGAAAGCAGUAUAUAAGGCUCUUAGCACCUUGUUUGCGUCCGCGGGUAAACUAAUCUUUAUUCAUUUGCUAUUCCUACCUUAACUGAAAUAAUAUGACAUAAUAGGUGAACUCCACUCUCACUGCAUCUUAUGUUGUAGACUUAACUUUUACUGCGGAUUCUAUUACUUGUUGAAACUGCUUCCUCACCGGAACCUAUCUCGGUAGACUUAGAGCUAAUAACUUGACUCACUCGCAUACAACCAAGCAACGGGCGCAAAGGGAAAGCCUUUCACUUCUAUCACAGACAAAGAAACUCUACUUUUAGCACUUAGCGCACAUUGAUAGAAUCUUCCCUGACCAACACUCUGUACUUUAUGAUUGGAAGCGUUGUUAGCGAGUUACUGCUCAAACGGAAAAACGACUUUCAUUUGUGUGGCUCUGAUCUAUACUCAAUUCAGUAGCUCUUCUGAUUAUAUCAUAUAAUAGGAGACUAGAUGAUUGCCCCAACUCGUAUACUCAUCUGAUUGCCACAACUCUACUACUAGCAAGUCAAACUUAAAGAGACUCGUCACCAACAAACUCACCAACCUAGUAGUGGUCUUAUGGAAGCAGGUAACCUCCCCUGCGCUCUAAACUAGAAAUAGCAGCUUAUACUCUUUCUUAUCUACUUUAGGAAACGACAGAUGAAACUCUAUCUUAUCAAGUUGAAGAAGGACUGAAACCAGCUUGAAUUCUUCUCGAGUUUAGGAAGGCUGAUGAAACUCUUUCUUAUCAACAGAUGAAACAUCUCCUUCUCUGCUUUAGGAAUGAGUGAAAUCUUGAAACUGAAAGCUGCUGUCAACUCCACCACAAAGAGUGGAUACAACAUCCUUUAUCUAGUACUAGAAGGGGGUAGCUUGUCGGCUUGUCCGCGUGGCGAAUUGCUAGAGCGGGACAAUAAGUAGAGUGUGAUAAUGUUGUUAUAGAGUCGAGGUCUUACUUGAAUUAGUAGUCCUGUUCUGGUGAUUGUUUAAUACCUUGGUUCAUCCCCUGUAUCAUCUGUGUUUGUAGUCGUUACUUGGCCCCCGAUGCUCUAGUGCAGUAGCUUGCCCGGGUAGCAAUUUGUAGAGGAGAGGUCUUGUUUUUUCCAGAGCAGAGUUUCAAUUGAUUGAUACCUUACGCGAGAUACGAGACUUGCAUUCACUAUGGAUUUCAAAAGGCUCUUGAAAAAGCACUUUCCAACUGCUUCCCCCAAUUGAGAAACCCCGAAAAGAAUUAUGAAAAUGCCUAUAUACCGUGUAGUAUAGAGGUCAUGAAGAAGGCGAUAGAUAUGGCUUGCUCAAAGAAAAAGAAGCUGGUAUUGGAACAGACGGCUACAAUAAAUGCGCUCUGGCAAACCUUCCGGGAAUGACUCGAUCUCUUGGAUGGGCAACCCAUUUGUUCGUUCGGUGGGUUUAUCUUCUUCCCGGGCCUGGCCCUCUUGGGGCGCUAACGUAUUUAAGCGCGUUAGUAUACAUGUAUUAAUAGCAAGUCCAUAGAAACUCCUAUUUGGAAGCUGUGCAAAGAGAAUAAGUGUCAAAGUAUAUAGAAGCGGAGGCUAAAGUCAGUGGGUAAGGAAGCACUGGAAAGCAGGGCCCUUACUAUUAAUUGCAGGGAAUCAUAAAGUACUGGCUGGUCGGUUAAGGUAAUAAUCAAGUCAAGGCUUUGCUGCGAGGGCAGCGUCAGCUGCGAUGCCUGAAGUUUCAGUUAAGACAGACGAGUAUCUUUCAGUUCGCCUAGUUCGAGUGUAAUCGUCAAAAGAAUCAGGUUCUCCAGAAGAAGGUAAAGAAGAUGGAUAACGAUCAGAAACUAGAUAAGGGUAUUCAUCGGCGUCAGGGAAAGUGGUUUCUUGUUUACAGUUAAGUGAUAGUACUGUUGACAGGAAGAUCUUAAACAAGAGAAUAAGAAAGAAGGUUCAGUGGCUGAAGGAUAGGUAGGUUCUCCAAAGAGCAUAGGUAGGUUGUUUCUACUCGUAUUACAAAGAAUAUAAAUAAUAAUGGAAUUGUUAACUGACAAAGAAGUAAUCAACGGCUUUCGGAACUCACAUUAGCACUUAAGUUACUACAUAAACGACUCUCAUCUCAGGUCAACAACAACGGAACUAACGGAUAAAGAUGGAAUGAAUUCUUUGACUUUCACUUACGGAGUUUUCGCUACCCUACCGGAUAGUCAGCCUUAGCUAUAGGCCGCACCCGCCACGCUCAAGCAAGCAACAGCGUUAGUGAGUUUUGACGCGAAGGGGUUUCUUUUUACAUACAGACUUCUCCACGUUGUGCUCUUAUCUAGCUAUAAUCUACUCAACUCUAUCCCCUCUCCCUCAUACUCCAGAACUUACAAUAAGGGCCUCUCCUAAAAGAAUGGAAUCUAUCGAGCAACUAACUGGAACUCACCGUCACCGGACUUACGCACCCCGUAGAAGCUUCACUAACACACAAGUAAAAGAAGAAAUAGAAAUGAAUUGUAAACUUCCUAAGCACCUUGUUAACUGGAAUUGUACUUGUUCCAAGCACCUCUGAUUCUCGAAUUGACUUCCCUCGCUCACUACUAGCAGGAACAUGAACUAGCCCGCUCCCACUAGACCUCGAACGGAAGGGGACUCUUAUGACCCCGUUGACUUUUGCCAAUUACCUGAACCUCCUUCUACCUUGACUUCAUCAACUACACUUUCUCCAGCUUAGGGAUCAUGAUCCUUCUUAUCUUGCAAAAGGUAGCUAAGGAUCCAUGUAAAGACAAAACUCACUACUUACUCUCGCUAUUAACAUAAGGGCUGCUUACUAACUUGUUCCAAUCUCUCUCCUAAAGCGGUAUUUUAAGCAUCAGAGGUUACCUGCUUCCAGAAUACCUAGGCUAAGAGGAGCACUCUGAUUCUUCUGUUUCAACUAAUUAGCUACGAACUCCCUUUCCGACUGGUGGUGUACUAAAACUCUGCAUAAAGUAAAGACCGAGCAAAAGCCUCUUAUUCGGUUUCUGACUCCCCGGAUUCCCUCUAUUCUUGCCAGUCAAUACAGUUCCGUGUUCGCCUCUACGGCCAAGGUUUUAGUAGUUGUUACUUUACUUGUCCACUGACGCUAUGAAUACAAAAAACAGGAUUUGUUAGUGCUGGGGGCCGUGCCUUAACCCUACUUCUCUUGCUUCUAUUGUAAAGACCUGAUUGAUAGUUGUUUCCGAAAUAAACCCGGCUGAUGAUCUUUCAACAAAGUGUUCUAUUUCUCCCCUAAAAGAUCUGAAUCUUGUUCCUGUUGCUUGAUACCUGCAUGAGGCUCAUCUACCAUACUUCUUUCUCUAGUUUAUUUCUUUCUUGAUUAUAUAUUUCUUUAUUGCGGAGGGGUUUGUGCUAGUGUUUCUAUAGCUAGUGUUUCUAUAGGAAUUAGUCUGGAAAGUAGUAAUUACAGAAUGAGUUUGACUGACUUGCUUGUUAGGGUGGUAAACUAACCAAAGCUAUGUAGGUAGCAUCAUAGUUUCUACUUGCACUGUUGCUUGUUUCAGACCUAACAACUAACUUCUAGGAGAUUUCUCAUUCUAAAAGCAAGAGAGAGUGCGUCAAGAGUACAGGAAAGGGAACAAUGUCUAAUUUGCGCUAACGGGAGCAACGCUUCAGAAGGCAUAAUCAAAGUCAGAGCGCAAUAUAGGCGUUUAGUCUUUCUUUUUCCGUUCUUGUUCCUGAUCGUUGCGAUAUAACAAACAAAGCUUCUCAUCAUGCGCCAGUUCAAUAAACUCCUUUAAGCGUCCUAAAGGCAGUACACGCCGAACUGACGUUAGCGCUAGGUUCUGUUGCUGAACUAUUGCUUGCUUAACUCUCACUAAGGUAAACAACACAGCAUUAUAGCUUUCUCAACUCUGUUAUUGUAUGGAAUUGACUCUCCCUUUCUAAGGCACCUACUGCUCAUCAAGUAAGCUAACGGCGCUUGCUACCCAAUGGAAUUUGACUGACGACAUACAUAUGGUAUUUCACUAACUAAGUCAAGGGUCACAGAAAGAAGAGAAUUCCACACUUAGUAGAACAAACAGAUUUCUUUCAAAAUGGAAUUGAGCUAACAAAGUCAAGAGCAAUUGAGCUAACAAAGUCAAGGGAAAAAGUGCAGCAAAACAUUGUCUUGAGCCUCGAAAAUAAUAUCUCUUGAAACCAAUAUAGGUGUGGAACAGCUUCCUUCUAAACGGAAAACUGGAAUUCUUAGCUCAUAUGGGCAGCCGUUGCGCUAGACUCUAUUAAAUCAUUCUUUCCCUCUUGCUUGUUCUGCGGACUCUAUCUCUGUGCUUUCCUUGAAAACUAAUAUCAUUUAUUGAAACUCUGUAAGCGUAAGCGCCGAGUCAAACAUUUCAUCUUUCUCACUCACCUAUCUAAUAGGAAAAGAAACUCCUUUACCGUCCCUAGCUGUCAAGACAGUUACAGUGGAGUCUUCAGGAAAACAAUCAUUUCUUCUAUCGAGCACAGAACUCCCGUAAGCAGAAACAGAUUUUAGUCAUUCAAUUCAGAUCAGAUUGCAGUCAAAGAUCUUGGCGCAGAAGAUAACUCCGUAAGCACCUAGGAAAACAUAGAAUUCAUUGAGAACUCCUUACUCCCCACCUAAAAAUGUCUUGCAGCUGACUUGUUCACUGUUAAAGCAAGAAGUCAACUAUCAAGUUCGAAUUGACUUCCGCACCUAGCGGACUCAUUGAAACUCGGAAACGACCCAACGAAUGAAUUUGGAGCCCUGAAAACGACACUUGUGCCAACACGUUGAUACCUAACCGCAUCUUCUUGUACUUACUUCUGAGUCCUGUGCCCCUGGCUAUCUGUUCUCUCCUCUUCUCUUGCUAAUCUACCGACUUGAUAUACGGGAAACUAAAACAGAUGAAGCUUUACUACUCUACUACACCUAUUGCUACUACACUAAAACAUUCCUUCUCGCUUCGCUUGCUGCUUACUUGAGACUCAAUCUUGUUUAAGCUUAUGCAUAUGCUGCUGAUUGCCUUGAUACUGAUUCAUUCUCUCUAAGACAACACGGAUUAAAGUCGAGCUGUUAGAUUAUUAUACUAUAUUGAAGUACAUCGCGCAUCAAAGAAAGUCUGCCAUCAAACACUUGACAUCGCCUUUCCUUACCUUUGCUCACCUUUGCUCAGCUCAACACUUAUUCUUUCCUGUAUUGCUUUUGACUCUUGCUUGGUUUCAUUGAAGCGUCACUAUACCUAAACUUUCUUCACCGGCAACACUAGCACCAAAAGAAACUUGACUUGUUGCCCAAACUUAUAUAGUGGGAAAACGCCUAAAAGUGCUUUUUGAUCUCUAACCGUAGAAUAUUAGGUAGAAUAUGAGGAAUUUAGCUGCUCACUGGCGCACUUGACAGAGUCUUGCGCUGCGCUGUCAAGCAUACAAGAUUUUCCAUCUUAUAACUAAACUCCUGACUCGUGUAACGUUGAACGACUUGCCCCACCGACCUAUCCUUGCAGAAUCGUUUGCUGCUUCAUCAGAUCUAGUGUAUUCUCCUGUAUACUAGUAGGCGGAACAAUCAGACCAUUUCCUUUAGCGCUUAACCGAGAUCGUAUAUAAGGGAGUAAUAUUACCUCAUUACUCAAUCAACGUCGCCAACACAUCUCUAACCGAACCUAAAAAAGCACCUAACGUAUGAAGUAAACCCACCGCGUCUAUAAACCUCGUCGUUACAACGUGUUUCUAUGCACUUUUCUUCUUUUCUGACUUCAAAUUAGUUGUUGCUGGGUUUUGUUACUCGCCCCUAUGUCUAUGAUAAGAUCACCUUGAAGUUGUUGCUGUGCUUUGUUACUUACCUCCAUAUACAAUGACAUGACACAACAUCCCUUUCUGAACUUUGGUAGAGCAGUAACAGUAGCAGAGUAAUAAGUGUUUAGUUACUGGAUUCUAUUAGUGGUGCACUCACAUUCAAUGGGCUAACGCUCAUGGAAGUUUCCAAGCACGGGGCAUAGGUUUGUAGACGAGAAAUAAGCCCAAUUCCAUAAAACAACGUCCAAUAUUAAGUGAAAGCGCUUACGCCGCGAGUUCUUAGUUAGCGAGUGACUAUAGCCUUAGCCAGCCGUUGCAGAAGCACUUGUUUUGUGAGUGAGUGAUCGCUUGUUAGUGAGCGGGCAGCUGACAACUAAACCUCUGCCUUUCCUCUCUUGCCCCAAGCACCGAGGAAAACAAAGAAUAGAUUGAAUCUUUCGAUUCGAGUGCCAAGUCAAGUGUUUAGGGCGGCUGGUUAGCUAGUCCAAAUUAUAGAUUCAAUGAUGAAUUAACUGCUUCACUUCUAUCCUUCUGCCCUAUUAUGAAGUACUAUGCUUCCCUUGCGCAACGGCUAACUCAACUUACCUUGCCCACCUCUUUUCCAGUGUGAAGUUACUUCUUAUACUAUCUUGUCUUAUUCUAAUUCAGUUACUUAUUAGUCUUAGAAUCCGCUAGCUAUUAUUAGAAGGGCCUUCUCCUUCCCUAGCUACUUUCCUAGACUAUUAUAGCUGCUCCUUUAUUACCGAACUCAUUCAUUUGAACUGUUAACUACUUUACCUUAAUUCGUUUAAGUUUCCCCUCCAGAGUUUAGGGUUGACUUUUGAACUCACUAAUACUGUUACUUGCCUAGUUGCUUGGCCCCUUUCCACUGACUUUCUCACUGGACUUGUUGCGAGCAGCUCACUUACUUUGUAUCCUAGGAAUUCCAUAAGUGGGCGAGGGUUGGUGCUCUAGCUCUAGGUAUGAUAGAAGGCUAUCAGAUUAAUAAGAUAUCAGAUUAAUAAGAUAAUAUAUCAUUUAGUAUGUUUUCCUCAAUUACUGGUUGCGAGCGGGAAGGACAGAAAGGUUGCUUGGCGAAGUCGUUUAUCAUCUUUGUUUCUCCAUUCCUGAAGUUUGAAAGAAACUAGAUUCUUUAGUGCACCUCUUUCACUCCGGGUAUGUGCCUUAGUGAUCCAGUAUGUUACUAAGUAGUAGAAGCGUAUGGGUAUGCUCAAGUCUAGUGUUGUUGUAUACGCUUGUCUCUCUCUUUGUCUUUGUAUUAGUAGCUUGCCGGCUGUUCUUGGUAAAGUAUCAAGCUCAGUUCGGAAGUAGGGUGUUGGUUCUAAAGUAAGGUGCGGAGAGAGAGCCUCAUGAAGUGAAUAGUUGACAUAGGUGGAAGAGCCAUAGGUAAGAGGUUUCAUAGAAGUUAUAAAGAUGAGCCAUAGGUAUAGAUGGAAGCCUGAGUUCAAAGAUACUGUUUAGGAGAUGAUGAAGUGCUUGUGUUAAGCAUAGAAGAAAUCUAGAAUAGAAGAGAACUCCAAAAAACAUCUAUUGUAAUAACUUGUCAUAUCUAUUACCUUGGCUACCGCACCGAGAGCAUCUACAAAGACAGAACUUAGCUAUAGCUCCUGCCGUACAACGUCUUGCGCCGUUGCUUGGCCGUUAUAACUAUUAUUGGGCUGCCGCUACACAUUAGUAGUUACUUGGCGCGCCGUUGCUUGGUCGGAACAUUAGUAGUUCCUUGGCCUUGGCCCACUCCAUAAUCCUUAUAUAUCAUAUUAUAGGAUGACUGAUCAAACUCGGUUUGAUCCAUCUUUAAAUAGGAUGACUGAUAAAACCCCUUAUUAGAAUUUCUUCAAUCACCACCAACCAGAACCAGUGCACUAACAACGGGACUAAGACAAGUGAAUUGCAGAAUAGACCUAGGGCGAGCAAGACUUACUACCUGCCCGCCCAGGCUUAAACUUAGUAGUGCCUUAUUAUCAUUUCUAUCCGAUCCGAGUGUAAGGCUAUAGCUACUGACAAACAGAAUGAAAUUAACUCAUCACAGAAUCAAAGUAGUAACUCCAAGACUAAUACCUGUGUUAGCAAGAAUCCAACCAGUGCAUCUCAGGCUUUACUACUGUCCGCUCAGCCUCAAACCAGUGCAUCUCAGAACCAAGCACCUACCAACAAGAAUCCAACCAGUGCAUCAAAGAACCAAACCGGUGCAUCCAAGCCUGAUACUGGUGCUGCUAGGUAUGUAGCUAGCCCUUAUUAUAAUUCAUUCCACUUUUCUUUCGCUUUUUUUGCAUUUCUUAUCAAAUUAUUCAUCAUAGCUAAUUGAGAAUAUCUACUCUUCUCUUGCCCCCGAACAAUUCUAUUUCUUUGGACAGGCGCGGGGGGCCUUCCUUUCCAAAGAUUUCCACUCACUGGGGGGAAAGGUCAUAAUGAAAGUCGAAAACGAACUAGAGUGUUCUUUAUUUCAGCAAUGCUCGAAAGGGAGGCAGUAUCAACUUAGAUAAUUGUCAAGGAGGGCGCAAAAGUCUCUGCCAAGUCCCUACCUAUACGAGUAUACUCGCUUUUAAGCCACAAUCAGUAUAGUAUCUUCAAGCAAGGGCAAGGGAAGACAGAUCUUAAUCAUCAGUUUUCAAUCGAAUAAGGGUGCUUCACUUUUUCUACUUAUCUGGAAGUAUUGAUUGAUUGGGGCAGUGCUCAGUAAACUAAUCAUUCAUUGAAUGAACAACUUAUUCAGCUAAGCCCCCUCGCAAAACAGUAUGAGGUUUGUUCCCAGCAGCUCCCUAUUACUUUUUACCUACAGAGCGAGGAUCCACCUGUUGCGUAAGGGAAUCCACUCCAAUGUUAGGCGUCUCAUUUCUUUCUACAACCGAUGCAGACGCAAGACUCAGUACUUAUGCGAGUGACUAAAGCACGCUUAAACAACUGGAAUUGCCUGUUUCUUCUUAUCUUCUAGGUUCUGCUUGAGUAUUCUCCUCCAUAUCCUGAAUUGAAGUUGGAAUGCCACUUUACUUGCUCAUAACUCUAUUCAAUGAUGAACUUCAAGUGGUUGGUGCCCUUAAUGACUGGCGUCAGUGAGUUAUUCCGUUAAGAAUUGCAUUUCCAAGUAGGAAUUGUUAGCCUACCCUUAAGGAUUGCUAGUAUCAGUGUUAGAGGUAUAGUAGCCGAGGUUAACUCAAAGGUAAGAGCCAAGCUGUAUAGUAGUUAUGUUUCACCAGUAUAAUAGUUAAGGUUUCCAGCCCCAAGUAGUGGUCCAGAAGUACUGAGUUGUCCUCGUAAUAAAACCGAAACUGUGAAAUGCCCCAACCCAAUCAAGUAGCUUUAAGAUCCAAAAGUAGUCCAAUUGAAGCAGGAGCGGAUUAAGUAUUAGAAUAAGGCCAGAAUACAUAACUUGCCAGCGGAUUAGAAUAAGACAAGAAAGAGGGUAAGUAUAAGAAUAGUGAUAGGGUAACUUACAGUGCUCCUUCUCUUUAGUAAGAAUUCCACUCGCAAGUAAGAAAACCAUAAGUCAGAAAACCAGUAGUAGCUUGGCGAGGCAUGAAGAGGUAUUAUAUAAGAUCUUAGUAUCGGUAUAUUAAUUACUAUAUUAGUUACUAUAUUAGUAGUGGUAAAGAGGAAAGAAAGGGUUAUUCGUAAAGGAGUUUGUGUAUGUAAGUAGUAAAGAGUUCAGAAGAAAGGAGUUUUUUUCUUAGUAGAGGCUUUCAGCACCUUCCAGUUUCAGAGAGAGAUCCCUACUGAUGCCCUUAAGCUAAUGGUUAGAGUGUCAUCCCUAGUUUAGUAUUCUCAUCUGUUGACAAGUAGUAGCCCAAUUGAAGCAGUGCCAAGCCAGAGAAAAGUCAAGGAAUGGAAGCAGUGCUAGCUAGUAUAGGUAGUCAGGGGAGUUCAAAGAGACAGAGUUAGAUUAGAUGGAGGCAAGAAGAGAAGAUAGCCUCAUUCAGUUAAGUUCAUAGUUGCCUGUUGCCAUAGGUAUGGUUAUCGGAGUUAGAAAGAAGCUUCCCUUAAGUAAUUGGUGUUGUAUCCGAGAUCAGUAAUUUAGUAGAGGUAAGUCAACUAGUUCAAUUAGUUCAAGUAAACUCCAUUCUUCAAUUUAUGGAUUAGUGGCAAAAGCGAAAGAACUCCCUGGCAAUGAGUCAAUAGAGAACCUAGAGAAAUGGAAUCCGCAAGUCACAGAGAUAAGAUGGGCCAAGCACCGAACCUAGACUUAAACAAUCAUUUACAUCUCACUACUGAAGAACCAACUAUCCACUACUAGGCAAAACCCCUGACUUAUACUAGGCACCGAUAUCCAUUUCUUACAAACAAAUACAGAAAGAAAGUGAUAGAUCUCGAGCAAACUCCUAAAAGCCUUCUGAUGUGACAAAAAUAUACCACAUGUUACUAAUUUCUACUAAUCCAUGGUUUCAUUCCAAUCAGAGCAGAUCCAUCAGUUAUAGGUGGGGCAGGAUCGAAAGCUACCGGAGAAGGAGAAUAUAAAAGAGCAUAUCCGUUUUCAUUAGGUUUCAGGGCAUUUGUAGCAGUUGCUUGGGUCUUUGCCUUUGUAUACGUUGGUAGUAGUGGCUGGGCUGUGGACUCGGUGGAAACGGAUUAAACUCUAAGUGGUUGGGGUUGACUUUAUUUAUAAGAAUUCAGUUAGAUGAAAUAGAAAGGCAUAGGAUAAAGGCGGAGGCGGACAGGACACCCAUAAGAAUUCCACUCAAAGCAAAGAAUUCCAUAAGUAUAAGAAACAUAUUCCAAAUUCUCCGAUAAGUAGUGGUCCAAGUCGAGUAUCCUCUUUUGUUUACUAAGGUCUAUGAGAGAGAGGUUAUUGGCGGAGCUGGAUCUGAGUCAGCAUCAGUUUCUUUCUUAAGAAUAGAGUUUACGAACAGGGCAGAAUCUAGUGAGGAAGAUUGAGCUGUGUUUCUCUUGGGCGAAAGGAAUCUUAUUUGUAUUAUAAAGAAAUCCAGAAAUGUGGAAGAGGGCUGCUAUCUAGAUGCCUUUGAUGUGAGGGCAGCGUCAGCUGCGAUGCCUUUCAUUCUAUCUUAUCUACUUUCUAUCUUGAUUAUAUAAUAGAACUGAUGAAACUAGCCCAGCAACAACUAGAGUAUGUGUUGGUUAGUUCCCUAAAGCCAGGCCAUCUCUUUGAACUAAGGCUCAUCUACAACCAAGCGUAUACUGAUAUUGAUACAGAUCCUUAAGAUUCCUCUUCUAUUGGGGAGACUAGGAUUCCACUAGGGGGAUUCCACUAACCACUCCUGUUCGUUUUCCACCUUCUUGCAUUCGGCUCCUCUAACUCUUUCACUCCAGUACUAUACUAAGAAAAACCUCUCUCUUUCUCUUACCUCUGCUCUGGGCUCCAAAUAGCACUGUUAACUACUGGAUUAAUUGACCCCUAAGUAAUAGAAUAUAAGACUACUAGGGAAGUACCGACUACAAAGACAUAGCAAGUAGGAAAGCAAUGUAUACAAAAGCAACUCCGAUACUAACACCCGAAAGAAGAACACCUAUAGCUACCUGGCAAACAGACUAUAAGGGCCUACCUCGAAUAAGUGUUAACCCCGACUCGAGCUCUGGCAACUUCCAACUAUUCUCUUAUUAAAGCUGCUUCUCUCUUUCGAAACUCAAUCCUAUAUUAAGUGAUCCUAUGUUUCCUAUACAGUGUAAGUAGAGCUAGAAGAUGUCGACUUUUCUUCAACUAGCGGCACUUUAGCGUAACAUUAGUAGUUACUUGGUGGACUUGGUUAUGCUUAUUCUCGAACAGAGGAACAGGCUAUUCUUAGGCUACAUCUCCUUAUACAUCUCCUGCACCAACAUUCUCUUUUGAUCCAAAUCUUAUUCUAAGUCGAGUGCGUGAAGUGGUUUUCUUCGCGUUUACAGUGCAAUUGAUCUGUCUGUGCUUACGAGAAUAGAGUUAAUGUGCUUGACUUUCAUCGUGUGGUUCAUAAAGGAAAGAGGAGACUGGUAGUGACUGGGCAGUUGGCGAUUAAGAAGCUAGAAGGAAAUAAAGAAAAGAAUAUGAAGGCGCAAGUCAGGUGUCAGAGGUCAGAUGAACUUCAAGUGGUUGGUUGAGGGUCGGGAAGAAUCCAAUUUAGCAAGCCCAAGUAGCAAGUCAGCAAGUUGAUUUAUAGCCAUCAGUAAUUAUAUAGUAAAGAAAGGAAGCAAGCCGAAUCCAUACUGCUGAAGCGCGGUGAAGGUUCUCAUCUCGUCCUGCUCCCAGAGAAAGAAUAUAAGAUUAAGGUUUUUAAGCAGAAACAAGAUCUGGGUUAGAACAACGAUCUGAAGCUAUUAUUUGUUUUCCUGACACAAGUUUAAGUAAACAAGCAUAUACGUAACAAGUGACUACAGAGAGAAGGGUUUGAGAAGCCUUACCAGAACCUUAAUGCCCCUUACGAAUUUGAUGCUGGACCACUACUAAACUAAGGAAAGCAAAGCACCUAUACUAUACUUAACUGCUAACGUAGCUCUUUCCACAACAGGAUCACUGGUGAGAAUGAUACAGGGUCGUUCAAGCCUUAAACGAGCUAUAAACAAGGAAUACAGAAACAACCAAUCUCUCUCCUCUAGCUACAACUACAAAUACAGAUGAAACAGGGAAUUCCACUUCUUCUCGAGUAAAUGACUUGGGCACUGCUUCCCUUUUGCUUACUUAUUAGCUAGAUUGCUUGCUUCUUAAAUCACUAACUAUAGCUCAUCUAACUCUGUCAACUACUAAAGUUAUUGCUCAUAUACUAUUUGCUAUAACCAUAGUUUAGGUCGGGUCGAGGAAUUAAUACCUUAGUGUUAGGAUCGGAUAGUCCCCUUUUGAACUCACUCCUACUGUUGCUACUAAAAGAUGAGAUUCCAGUUCCAGGUAUCAAGGAAGAAUUCCACCAGCCCACUGAUUCCUCGAAGGGAGUUACUGGGCAAGGAGUAGGCCCACUACUAGUGAGAAAGUCUGUUACUAGGCAAGGAAGUCAUAUGAAGUCAGUUACUAGUGUUUCAUUCUUUGACUACUGAGUUUGAUUCUUUUAGUGGAUAGUCUCAUUCUUGCUUUGCCAAAGAGAGCAAACAAGUGGAAAGUAGUGUUCCAUAAGAAUAAGGAGCUGCAUCGGAUCGGGUAAAAUCAUCUUAUAAAGAAGCUGGGCGAGGAAAGGAGAUGCCAUAUGAGGAAAGGAGAUGCCAUAUAGAACUAUAAGAGUUUGCAGUGAACAACUUUACCCUUGGCAUUCAAGUUGGCAAAGAAAAUACAUCAUACAAAGGAAAGCCAGCAAGUAAGAUAGUUAAAGCAAGGGUCGAUGAAAGCCAGCAAGUAAGAUAUAGUGCAAGCAAGGGUGGAUUUAGUAUAUGUCCUAUUUAUGUCUCACCUAAAGACAGGUAAAGGGCCUAUAAGCUUGUUCUGUUCAAUACUAGUGAUCCAAUCCAGUUUCAAUCCUAGUUUACGAGUAAUGCAUUUCUCUGCGAUCAAGACGGCCAGCUAUUUGGAGUGGUAUAAACGAAACCAUCAUUCAUGGAAUUUAGAGGAUUUAACAAGCUCAUCUAUUCCUACUUGCAUCUCUUAUAUGAAGAUCGAGUGUGGUCCGUCCAUAUCCUGUGCGUGAGAUGAGAGUGACCUGCCAGCGAGUUACAGUUCUCUUCGUCAAGUAAGUUCAAAACAACCAAGCAACGUUCAUUCGUCUUCUUAGGAGAAAGAUAAGUUACUACCCGCAAUGAAAGCAGAAAAGCGCCAAUAACCUCUUUCCAUGACACCUUGCUGAAUUCGGCUCAUCUAACUCUUUCUGUUCUCUCCUCUCCUCUGUAAAAUAAUACAGAUGAUACAGGGGAUGCAACUCGAGCAGGACUACUACCACUAGACUCAAAGCGAGUACUCUCUGGAACUACCCGACCCCUAAUAGAUUGAUUCGAGAGACACAUACCCACUCAGGCAACAGAUACCAGUGCAGUGGUCGUCACUAUUUGCUAUAAUAUAAAUAAAGGGCAUGUGCUAUCUCGUACCUGAGUCCAAUCUUAGACCUAAUAAGUAGUCUGCCUUGGUUCAUUCUUGCUUGAAACUAACCCUCAGAAACAGUAGGACGAGCGGUGGCAGUUACUAGUUUCACUCUUUCUCCUCUUCUCUUGCUCCUACUUACCUGGCUCAGGCCUCUUUACUUUAUGGUCUGGCCUCAACACCCAACUUUCUCACUGCCUCUAGCUCUAGAUACGAUGAAACUUCAACUCUCUUUUCUUAACAACUCGGCUCGUCGCCAACAAAUAGGAGAAAUUAGUAACAUUGGUCAUAGUCACUGGAUUCACUAACUAGGCCUACCUCAACUCUUGCUCUACCUUCUCUGUCAACUACCCCUCAGCUCUUAACCUCACUAAACUAGUAACAGAGAUAAAAGCAGAUAGUUUACUUUUUAGUAGCGAGAUUUCUCUACUUUAUAAAUGCAUUAUUUCUAAUCGCUUGGCCGAUAUUCAACUCUCACAGGAGCAGGACUCUUACUUGCGCCAAAACCUUUACUUCCCGAACAAGCAGGACCACUUUCUUAUCUUCUUGUCCAAACUCCUCGGUGAAACUAGAUGUAUCGGAGCUGGCUCUACUCUAGUAUUAGACACUUGUCCCCCGCCUAGGUAUUCUAGAGCUAGAGCACCCACCCUCGCUACUUUAUAUUACAAUUGAACGUAACUUUCAUAACUGACCUCCGAACCCUCCAGAUUGGGGUAGAAAAUGCACUAUUUCAUAACUUAUGUAGUCUUAUAGGAAAUCCACCUAUGAAACUAAUCAACUUGCCUGAGAAUGCAUUUCUUCCUAACAUCUUUAGGGUCGAAGAAAGGACCAAGUAAAGACAGGACCUUCCACUUUAUGCUCUUUGAAACUAAAGCACCGAACAAGUAAAGAAGCUAGUUCUAAAUCUGGUGUGAAAGCCAGGCAAGCAGACAACUAGCGACUCGACAACUACACUUGAAACAAAGAAUGCAACUUGCUUUGCUGCUGUCAACUAUACCUUAAUUCUUCUAUGGCUAUGUCAACUAAUACUUAUAUGGAAACUAACCUAACUCCGGCUAAUAUGCCUCUCGGCUCAUCUACUGCCAAGCGUAUACUGUUCAAUGAGCCAACUACUCUACUCUACUACUACUACUACUCUCUAACUAAUGAUCCCAAGGCUUACUCCCUCGGAACAGCCUCUGGCGUAUACUACUGAUUCCACUACUCUAACAGCUUCUCCUGCCCACCUCUCUUAUUAACAGUGGUUGCAUUCUGACUAGCUCCUACGCGCCACUAGACCAGCGGGACAUGGCAUCAGCCUGUAACUACCCGGGUCGAUUCUAAGUCUACUUAGUUCCCAUUCUGCCUCGGUGUGUAGUAUUCCGAGUCUGCUAGCUCUCCCUUUCAUUCUCACUUUCCUACUAGCUCACCUCCACCUCUUACCUAUGGCUCCGAUACCGUAGUUAACAAAUCAAGUUAGGGCUCUGGACUCAGGACUACUAUACAGGUUGGGCAAGGGUCGGACUACUCGACUACCAGUUGGGGCUGUAAACUGGAAACCUAGGUGAAAGGGCAGACUCCGGGCAGACAUACGACAAGCAGACGAGCAACUAAUAAGGUUCAGUUCACUAAGAAGGUUCAGUUCAAGGUUCGACAACUACAUAAUACAUUCUAAUUGGAAUCAAAUCACAAAACCUAGAGAAACUCAAAAGAGCCAAGCUAACCUUAGCAACGUAGCUAGUAGACAAAGGCAAGGGAGACAAUAAGGCUCAUCAAGAAGAGGUAGACUCUGAAGCACUAAAUUCCUUAAUUCAAUAGUAAUAGAACUAUCAUACCUAGCUCAAUCCCCUUAUUAUGUUUCUUAACUAGCAGUUCCGUUAUUGUACUAAUUGGUUUCAUUCUCACUUUUGUAGUGACUUCUGGCUUUCCCUACUAAUUGGUUUCAUUCUCACUUUUGUAGUGACUUCUGGCUUUCCCUACUCAUGAGUUUCAUUCUCACUUUCAAUUAAGAGAACUAUAAGCACUAGGUUAGCUACCCUAUUCUACUAUACCUAAUAAAUCCUCUGAUUCUUCUUACCUUAACUAUACUUUGCAACUGAAACAAUAACUUCACUUUCAAACAACAACUUAUCUUAGCGCAGAGGAAGCACCCAAAGAAACAGGACUUGAAGACCCGCUUGCUGCUUCCUUAUCACUUGAUGCUUACUUUGUCUACAGGUGUGGGUAAGAUUACAUUUAGGAUGAAACUCAGGAUGAAACAAGAACCAGAGCAGUACUACUAUAUUAUUCCCCGACCACUCCUCUGUCAACUAAGUCUGAUCUUUAAACUGCUUCUUCAGUUGCUGGUUCAGAGGAUCCGCCUUCCCUUCCUCGGGACAAGAAGUGGAGUUACCAACCAAAGCAUAGGUCUUACCGAACCGACCACCACUCUACUUUAAUGCCACUAACCAAUUUGAUGCUGGAUCACUACACCUCCGAUUCAAUAGGACUCCUACUUGAGAUUCCACUUUACUACUACUACUGGGCUGCUACUACUUAUGAAGAAACUUCACUUGCUAGCUCAGCUCCUGCCGCUAGUGUUCAUAAGUUAACCUAGUACUUGCGUCAUUCUGUUACUACUUAGGUCUCUUAGUCGUUUUAUAAUGGUUGAAUUCUUUGACUACUUAGUUGGAUUCUUUACUUCAGUACUUCUAGCUUCAAAGCCUUUCCUCUGACUCUGUGAACUGUAGUAGCUUGGCUCCUCUCUUUAUUAUGUAGUUAAUUCCUAUCUUUGCCUUUCUAGUGGUUGCUGGGCCUAUUGACUACCCAGGACAGGACAAUCCACUCUAUCUCCUAUGUCAACUAAUACAGAUGAAGCAGUACUACUCUACUGCACCUCUGGCUAGGCGAGGGAAACAAGGGCUCCUUAAGCUAGUGUUCCGUCAACUAAUACUGUUAUGGCUCUGUAAUCUUGUUUAGGUCGGGGCAAAAGAUAUAGUCGAUGAGACUGGAACUGGAACUCGACCCACCCCAGGAGACAAAGAGCAAAUAAAUGAUUUGAAAGCUUCUGCCCCAAAAUCCUAUGUUUAUGCGCUAAAAGAUUGGACUGCUUCUGUGCUUGAAAGAACAAAUUCAUUCUGAAAGCUACAUUCCUUUUUCUCUCCCUUGUAGUGGACCGAGAAGAGAGUCAAGUUAGGUCAGGAGUCAGUUGUUAGGUAAUAAGUAAGUAAGUAAGUUAGUCUAAUGUGCCCAGCAAACUCCCUAAGCGCCUUGUAAACGGUAAUAAGUAAGUAAGUAAGCAGUGAGGUCAAUCCAAAAGUCAGUAACGUAGAAAGAAGCUCGUUGAUUGACUCGUUGAUUGAGUAUAGUAUAGACUUAUUGGUAAUAAGUGAUAGAUUCCAUAAUCAAUUUCCAUUUAUGAGUGGACUCGGAACAAGAAACUAGGGCAGCGCUAAGUACUGCCAGUUCCAACUAGUAGAGUUCCUGAUUAAAGGAGAGUUCCCAGGAGAAGAAACAGUUGAUUGAUAUUAAGUAGGAACAUAAGCAGGGGAAAUAUCUGGUUAAGUAAGUCUCAGCUCCACAGUAUCCUUUUAGGAAGCAAUGCUCUGUUUUGUAAAAGUCGUUGUGAAUGAUAAUGCUCCCUGUUUUGUUCAUCUCUUAUAUAUUGGAAAGUUAGUGAUAAUGCUUGUUCCGUUUUGUUAAUCUCUUUAUAGACUUUGUCGUUCAUUUUAUUUCCAUUCUUGGAUUACUCUACUUCGAGCAGUAGGGCGAGUUAGAAGUAUAAAGUCAAAAGGAAGAAGUGCACAUCAUAUCCUAGAAUUCAGUAAAAACACUGCCUAUUCAUGCCUCCAUUCGUUCAACAAAGAAGCAGUUUGUUUACUACUAUGUACUAUAAGAAUCUAUAUGUAUAGAGAUCUAUUCUAUCCUUUUCUCUUUCAGUUGAGUUCGCAACAAGCAAUGGAACAAGAGCAAGUCUACAAACACUGGACAUCAGGAGUUAUCUUCGGCGCAACAAGACUUAGUGCGUCGGCGAGUUAGUUCAGACAUGAGUUUGUGCCGGCAAUAAGCUGUGAGAUUACCUUUUCCUUUGUCUUCUAUUCCAUAAGUCAGUUGUGCAGGAAAUGAAUAAUCCACAAUAACAAGGUAUCCCGAAAGGAAAGGUGCGUUAACGCGAGCGAGUGUGUUCAGUGAGUUGGGGCAAGUUCAAUUGAAUCUAAAGGGUGCCGAGAUAAUAAUCUGUUCAAUCUGAUUCUGGUUUUAGCUCGAAAGAUUCCAGAAAAGGUUGACUCGUCGCUUACGGCAGUUUCCAGUCGAAAUCCAUAGUUUAUUCCCUUUUCCCUUGCUUCUCCUGCUGACUCACCUAUGACUCUCGGGGUCGGUGCUUAGGGAGUUUACAAUUAGCAUUCUUUUCUUCGAUGCGCAAGACCCGAAAUGGAUUAACCCCGGAUCUGGAUCUGUAUCAAGUAGAGUUCUGGACCAUACGUCUAAGUCUGGGUUCGGUGUCUAAGAAAGAGGUUAUUGUGGCGUACUUUUGCUUCUCUUUAAGAUAGAGUGACAGUUUUCGUUAAUUCAUAGAGUUCUGUUGCGGGAAGUGAAUCAGCGUUGUCUACGAGAAAAGAAACAGGAGAGGGGUCCUCAUCGGCUAAAAGAGUUGUUGACUGUUAUGUUAGAGAUUUCUUUAAAGAAUGAUUUGUUUACUUUACAGAUAAAGCAGUGCUAGGAAAGUUUCUCGGGAUAAAGUAAGUUGCUAUUGAUUCUUCAAGUGUAGAGUAAAGAUCGGUAUCCUUCAGUUCCAUUCUUUGUUGUGAGAUCACAUAUAGGUUCUGAAUGUAACCUUUUUAUAUAACCAUGUGCAUUCCAUUCUUAUGCCAAUAUUCUCUUUUCUCUAGCUAGCACCCCGAUCCAUAAGCAAGAAAGCAAUGCUGGCUGUGAGUUUGUUACUGUAUUCCAUAUUAGUUACACGCUCUUCAAUAUUCUUUUGCACUUAGAUAUUCUUUAGAGUCAGCAGUCGUCAUAUGUUUAGAUAUUCUUUAGAGUAAGGUAGACGACGAUAUUCUUUCAAGCAAGCACAACUCACAGAACUCCACUCGUAGACUUUUGAGCUAGAGCGGCACUGACACUGAUAAAGCGACUUGGACCACACCUCGCUAAAGAAUACUGCACUUGGUUAUAACUGGCUUACUUGUCUGCUUGCCCGGCUUGUCACGCUCUGCUUGUCUGAUUCAUUUCUGAAGAGAGCGUCACUUUUGAACUCGAAUUUAUGAAGAAAGAGAACGUGUAACAUACGGAACAAGCAACGGAACAGUGCCUAUAAAAGAUUCUGGCACUCCACUCAAUCUCUCUCUUGAUAAGUUGGUGCGAGUGCGAAGCCAGAAGUUCAUCAUCGUCUCAGCACUGAAGAAGGAUUACUGAUACUAGAGCCUAAGGUUAAGAAGGAUAACUACUACUAUAAAGCCUAUCAAAGGUUUGUUUAGAAGCUAAUCCACCUCACUAGUACGAGACCGGACCUAAGCUCUUGGUAUAGUGAGCCAAUUCAUGCAUAGACCGUAAGUUCCUCAUUGUAAAAGGAGUUAUUAAGAUUCCGGACUAGCUACAGGCAUCUACUGCUAAAGAAAGAGAUCCAUUAUGCUAACCAUGGUAACUUGUCACUAGAAGCUUAUGGAGAUGCGGACUGGGGCGUAUAGAUUCGGUAACCAAAAGCCUUAAAUCAAAUAACAGAGAAGAAAAUCCAAGAAAAGAAUGGAAUUGAGGCGCAGGUUUGAGUUAAGAAGUCAAAGAAUCAGAGGUUUUGUUCAAGUCAGAGUAGCGUCGUUGCUGAACUAAUUAAGACACACCCCCGUUUGGUAACUACACAUCUUAUCUUGUCCCGAUUGAAGAGGAUCCCACAACUCCAAAGUCAGAAGCAUGUUAGAACUUUUUCUCACAAUUCCUUCUUAUUACUAUUUAUGCUUUCGUCGAGCGGCAGGGAGCUUAGGGACAAGCAAAUACUAAUUAAGCUUGUGCAGUUUCAUCCUAUUUAGAAGCUGUUUCCAGAGAUGCUGUAUCUUUAUGAAAUUCUAUACCAAGUGCUGAGGCGUUCAGUUUAGCGAGGAAAAAGGGAUGCAGUGUGUUUCAAUUCCGGAACUUAUAUUAUAUGAGGAUGCGAAAGAGAGUGAAAUUCCCGAUUUGAUCAGUGCUCGAUAAGAAAUGACUGGUUGACUUUACCGCUAUAAUCAAUUCAAACGAAAAGGUAAGAAACUGAAUCAUUAGCUAGCCAGGUAUAUUAUAGAAGAAGGGAACCUCCCAUGCGCUCUUCUCUUAACUAACCGGCUCUUCUCUUAACUAACCGGCGACUCUCUUAACUAACCCUGUACGUGCUCCCCGACUUGAAGAAUGAAACAUUGUACUAAAAGAAUGCAAGUCAGAAAUCGAAAAAUGAAAUAAUGAUUCAUAAUAUAGGGUACGAUCUAGCAGCCAAGCGUAUACUCGAUAGGCUUAAACACCCGAUUGAUAGUCGCCAACAAGGACAGACGAAACUGCUUUGAUGCGAGGUGUCCUGCAACUUCAGAAUGAGCCAGGCCAAUUUCUUCUAUUUAUUCUUCCUAUAACAAAACGGACCUUCCCGCUUCAAGUCCAAUAGUUGAUUCUGUUGUUGAUGUCUACUUUCCUCGAUCCCCCCUCGCUUACUUACUUCUGUUAUUGCGCUUACUUAUACUUCCUUAGACUUCUGUUAUUGAUUUGAUUACUUUGUUCGGACCCUCACCCUUGUUCUUCUCUAACUCUUAUUCUGACUCUUAUACUUAUACUCUGAACUCUGAUAUCUCCAUACUUCUAGGGCUCCCCCUUAUUCUUAUCUUUCUGACUCCCCCCGACUCUGAACUCUUAUAUCUCCAUACUUACUAUACUCCUUAAACAACAACAGGAGAUUGACUUACGGCGGAAGAGAACUCAAACAAGCAGAUACUUACCUCAGACAGACAGCUACAACCGACUCGGGAAGGAAUAGUUGAUUUGGCCUAGCAAGGGAGCGACCUUCCUUCCCUUGUAUACGAUAAGUGUCCAAGUCCUACUCGAAAGAUGGUGUUCAAGCCCUCUUUAUCGCCUACCCUGUGCUCUCACAAAUAAGUCAGAAUUUCUCAUUUCAUGAGCAACUACAGGAUCUGGUUGCACUUAUGACCGCUGCUUGUUCUGUCCGAUUCCUGCUUGCUUGCCCUUAUUGAAAAGCUUGCUCCUGGAUACAACACAGCUACACUAGUAAUUGAUUCUUCCCUUAACAACACAGCUAACCCAGUACUCUCUUCUUCCCUUAACAACUCUAAGGCUCCAAAAGAGAUUUUCGAGGAUCUUAAAGCUAGCUCAUCAGAGCAAUCUUAGGAUCUUAAAGUGGUCAAGGAUGUGGAAAUGGACUUACGGAGCAGAAUGGAGACUUAUUUAAAGGAAAAAGGCUGGCCUCAGGAAUAUACUAUCGAUGAUUUAGGGGAGAAAUACCUCUUGCUGGAUUGGUUGGGUUGUAACCUUUGAUAGGCCCCUAAGAACUAAGCAACUGUUCCUCUAUAGAGCCCCUAGUACGCAAAAAAGCUUCAUGUUUGAAAUGUUGAAGAGCGUGCUUAAUAUCUAUUUUGCAGAUGUCAAAAAGAACGGUUUAGCAGGUGCCCACGACUCUUACGAUUUAUGGGUUCUGGAUCCCAUUUUUGUUGCAAUAGAUGAUUUUGUAGAGCUUAAGUCUCCUUUCCUCGAACAGGCUAUUCUUCUCUCGUUGCCAAUGCUCAAUCCUCUUUGUUCAAGAAUGACAAUAUUUCUAUACUCAACACUGCAUCCCUUUUAUUUGUCUUGUAAGAGUGAAAUGAAUUGAUUAUCUUUUCUUGCUUCCGCCUCUGUUCUUAUAGUUCAUAAUAAAGGGAACAAGCUUAGGCGUUGCUUGUCUGAUUCUGCCCGAACAAGGCUGGAAUCUGGAACUACACUUUCUAUUGGACCUGGGCUUGUAUACCCAAGCUAUCUCUACCUUUCUUAAGGGUCUGUAAACCAACUCUUCUUAGAAUGCGCUAGCAAUUAUUAUAAGGGCCCUUCCUUCUAUUAUACUAUUUCUGAGAAUGCGCUAGCAAUUAUUGACUAUGGCCCAAUUCCAUAUCUUAUCUUUCAAAAAGGCUUACUCAUUUUAUUACUUUAUCCUAUCACUAUUUAUCCAAGGGAAAAAGGCUAGGGUGACUCUAUCAAGGGUUAGCUAGUAGCUUAUUCAUCAUCAGGGUUUCUAGGGUUCUCACUUUCUUACGGAUGCUGGGCAAAAGUCAACUUCACUUUUCUAUCUCGUGGGAGCUCUCUCUCUAUAACCAGCACGCUUACUUUGUCAUCUCAACUGAAACUUAAUCAACUAAACUUUCUACUUUACUUGGAGAAGAAUAAAGAGAAUCCGCAAUCAUAUCUUCUUGUUUCGGCUUUCUUGCUUGUUAAUGGGUGGGCUCAUAGCGUUAGCGAGAAAACUACCUAUUUCAAGGCCAGACCGAUAGAUUGGAUUCUAUAGCGAAGGAUCUUAAGGUCUGAAAUCGCAUAAAUAGCUUCUGAGUGAAUCCAGCUACUUAGGGUCUUCUCUUUAAUAAGUGUUUUACGUCUAUCAAUAACAAUAGGAAAGUGCUUGCCUGAUUAGAAUCGUUAGGAAAGUAGUGCACUUAUUUUCUUGUGUUAGGGCGGGGAAGUAUAUGCCGCGACACAACUCAAGCGGAAGAUCUCUGGUUGUAACGGAAGCGAAAAGAGGAAUUGGUUCGUCACGGGCUGCUAUAGUUCCCAGUCAUGUAGAAGUUAUUACAAUUUAUGAUUUAACGAGCGGCAGGAGUCCCCGGAAAUGCUAAAUGAAAAAAGAAUUCCAUAAGGAUCUACACUGGCUGGGGAUUAGAUGUGGCUCCCUAUCUCCUUAUGUUGCUCCCUAUAUCCUUUUUGGAACGGGGAAAAUAGAGAAUGCAUUUAAGGAUCUGAUCCUAAUCCUAGUUCGGGACUGACGGGGCUCGAACCCGCAGCUUCCGCCUUGACAGGGCGGUGCUCUGACCAAUUGAACUACAAUCCCAGCGAGGUGUAUGGUAUACAUAUAAUAUUAUGAAUGGUUUCAGAAGAACAUUUGAUUCGUCGCCUUGUAACAGAGACACGAAUGAUAUACUCACUGAUAUAUAAGAGAGAUAGAAAUAUGGAUAUGGACUAUAGUGAAAGUGACACGGAUUACUAGUAACCUGUGUUUCUUGGAUUUGAUUGCCAAAAAAGGCAAUGAUCAAAACCGCUCCGCUCCUUGCUUUGUUUGAAUAUUCUUUAUGAAGAUAGAUAGUGGAAAGAAAAGAUCAGAACGAAUGAGAAAUACAUGGAUAGAGAACAAAAACGGGACUCUUUCUCUUUUACGGAUCAGGCAUUCUAGUUUAUGGAGGACUAUAUCAUUGGCUAUAUUAGAUUCAUGGAGCGACGAAGCUUCUUCAACUGCUUCCCAGAACUGCUUAGGAUUUGAACCAGCGUAGACAUAUCGCCAACGAAUUACAGUCCGUCCCCAUUAACCGCUCGGGCAUCGACCUAGAUCUAAACACUCUUUUGGACUUUGAGAGGGCAAUUGAUUGCGGGGGUAAAUGAAAUUGAUUGCUCCUAAAUAAACCCUACUCAGCAUCUAGUUCAAUUGAUUGCUCCUAAAUAAACCCUACUCAGCAUCUAGCUUCAUAUUACUAAAGAAACCCCUACUCAGAGCUAGCUUCAUAUUAUUAGCAUACUAAGGUAUAUAUCAUGUACAUCUAUUAUGCAGUAGACUCAUAAUGGAAAGGCUAUUUGGAAUGACAGUAGACUCAUAAUGGAAAGGCUAUUUGGAAUGAAUCUAAUAAGGACCCUUUGAACUCAGUGGUAUAGUAACGCCAUGGUAAGGCGUAAGUCAUCGGUUCAAAUCCGAUAAGGGGCUUUUUCCACAACUAUCAGGGUUCAAAUACUUAUUUCUUAGGAGUCAUAAGACAGGUUCAAAUACUUAUUUCUUCCUAUUAUAUAGUAUAAGUUAUAAGUAUCAGAAAAGGAAGUCUAAGCCGGUCCAUUGCUCUUUCCUUGUGCUUAUUUCGCUUUAGGAGGUUGGUUUACAGGUACAACUUUUGUAACUUCAUGGUAUACCCUUUGACUGGCGAUUGAAUGAGUUGGUUUGCUAACACUCCACUCCUUUGAAUAGUUGAGCACAUUCUUAGUUGGGUCCGCACAAGAACGCAGGAAGAAAGUGAUACUAUUUCAAAGAAACCAUAUAUUGAUUGAUUUCGAAAUCAUUCUACAUCUUUGACUCGUUGGUGUCAAUUAGGCGUGGACUUGUGUUGCUCUCCAUGGUGCUUUCCGCAUAGGUUUCAUAUUACUUCACUUACCUUACGUAAAAGAUGGAUAGGACUAGGUCUUGCUCGAUCAGUUCAAUUGCUACCUUCUAAUGCGCAUUCUUUGCUUGCUAACAAUUGCAGUUUUCGUUUCGUUUCCGUAUUUCUCUCUUUAUCUACAGGGUCAAUCUGGUUUCACAUAGUUUUGGUGUAGCAGCUAUAUUUCGAUGAAUCCUCUGAUUCCAACGGUGGAAUAAUUGGACGUUGAACCCUUUGAAUAUGAUGGGAGUUUAGGAGUAUUAGGCGCUGCUCUGCUAUGCGCUAUUCAUGGUCUGUAUAAAACACUUUAUUCGAAGAUGGUAACGGUGCAAAUACAUACUGUUCGUGCUUUUAACCCAACUCAAGCCGAAGAGACUUAUUCAAUGGUCACUGCUAACCGUUUUUGGUCCCAAAUCCAUCUUUAGGGGUUGCUUUUUCCAAUAACCGUUGGCCUUAUGUUUUUUGUAUCCGUAACAGGUUUAUGGAUGAGUGCUAUUGGGGUAGUAAGUCGGUCUGGCUCUGAAUCUACGUGCCUAUGACUUCGUUUCCCGUUAGGAAGAUCCGGAAUUGGAUACUUUAUACCUACACCAAGAAUAUGACAUUUCCAAAAGAGAAAUCCGUUAGGAAGAUCCGGAAUUGGAUACUUUAUACCUACACAACCAAUAAUAUUCCAUUAUACAAAGGUAUUCGUGCUUGACAAAGGUAUUCGUGCUUGGAUGGCGGCUCAGGAUCAGCCUCAUGAGAAAACAAACACCUUAUAUUCCCUGUAAGGAGGUUAUACCACGUGGAAACACUCUUUAAUGGAACUGCCGCUUUAGCUGGUCCAAGAAACUACCUCGCUUGGUGGGCCGGGAAUGCCAGACUUAUAAAUUUGUCCGGUAAACUACUUGGAGCUCACGUAGCCCAUGCCGGAUUAAUCGUAUUCUGGGCCGGGGCAAUGAACCUAUUUGAAGUGGAUCUACCAGAGAAAAAACCUAUGUAUGAACAAGGAUUGAUUUGACUGUUGCAUCUAGCUACUCUAGGUUGGAGGGUAGGUCUAGGGGGGAAACCUUAGCAUACUUAGUCUCUUGAGUACUUAACGGAAUUUCCUCUGCUGUCUUAGGACGGAAUUUCCUUUAUGUCUUAGGCUUGGGUGGUAUUUCUCAUGCUUUGACCUUGAAUCAUCUUUUCCAUUCUGCAGAUAGAAAGAUAAUAACUACCAUGUUGGGUAUUAACUUCAUUUUGUUAGGUCUAAGUGCUUGCUUUUCUUCUAGUACUCAAGGCAGUUAGUUUAGGGGCAUAUAUUCAACCUGGGCCCCUGGCGGGGAGAUGUCAGAAAAAUGACACCAACUUGACCCGAUGCCCAAGUGUCAUAUUUUGGAUUGACUCAAAUCUCCUUGCUUUUUAGGGGAAUAUCCGGAUUUCUUGUUUGUGUAGACACGAUUUCUAUAAUAUUGAUCUUGUUGUGAGGGGUUCUAUUUGUAUACUUUGUGGAAUUCCAUUUGUAUACUUUGUGGAAUUUUGCUUAACCGCAUAGGCUUGCUUGCUGGUUUUAGCAUCGAGUGGUUUACUGUCUUAUAGUUUAGAUGCUUUAUCUGUCUUUCGUUUUCUCGCUUGUUGUUUUGUCUGGGUUAAUAAUACCGCUUAUCCUAGUGAGGCCGGGCCAGAAGCUUCUAAAGCAAAAGCAUUACCUUUAUAGUAAGAGACCAACUGGAGCUAACGUGGGAUCCGCUCAAUACAGGUUUAGGGAAAUAUAUCUAAUGCAAAACCAGAGAUAUGAUUUUCGGAGGAUAAACUAUGCGGGGAUCUUCGUAUUCGACCCCUCUUAGUUGUCAUUUGAUUCUUUUCACCAUUCUAUCUAUUCGAUUUGGUUACUCUUACUUAUGGUGAGGCUAGUCUAAGCAGACAGUGUAAUGUAAAAUGACUUACUUCAUAUGUUAACUCAAAAAGCAGAAAAACUCACGUUAGCCGAAAACAAGAACUCACUGGACUAACGCUGAUGAUAUAACUUGCGUUAGCGAGCGGAAUCUAUGCGCUAAUGGAGUUCCCGGGGGACACUCACUUGCUUGUUGAAUGUGAGUGCCAAAUAUCAUAUUUGAUAGCUAAUCGUAACUAAUGAAUCUAGUAACAACCCAUAGCCCUGCGAAACUCACUGUUUACAUUAAGAGGAAUUCAUAUAGGCAUACUAACCUCUGCCCUUACUUUAAGCUUUCCGGACUCAAUUGCUAGAAAGGGGGCGAUCUUAAUCGUUCAAUAUUCUAUGAGAAAGUGUUUUCAAGAAGAUAUCUAAAUUGCUAGCUAUAUUCAAAUAAGGGUGUUUCCUUUACUGAAUUCCAGAAUAUGGUUUCUUAGAUAAAUAUUACAAACUUAUAUAUAUGGUGUCGCUCGAAGCUUUUGUUUUGUGUAUUUUCAUAUUAGGAGUUCUGGCAGAGUUCUUUCCACUUCGAGACUCAAACCCAUACCUAGAAAAAAGGAUGCUACAAUAAGGUUCGAAAUUAGCAACUUGACACCCGAAGGCAUAGAGAGUAAGGAACAAAUGAAUAUAGAUUUAUGAGCUAUGAGCUAGUCCUGUAUUCUGUAGCCCUCCCUGACUUCUAGACCUUCCACUACGGAAUCUACCGAAAUGACUGGGCAGAUCUAAUGUAUGAUAGCUCGCUCAUAAUCCUUAGGCUAUACAGCAUGGAGCAGGCUUGGUCGUUAGUAUACGCUUGGCCGGGCAUCAAAGGCAUGAAUUUCUUGUAGGAGUGAUUUUCCAAGAGGGAAGAGGGGCAAGCUGGUCCCGGUCUCAGGCAAGUCUUAUUUAGAUUGGAGAAAGAGGUCGGGUUAGGACAGGAAGGCGAAAGCAGCCGUGCCGUUGAAGCAGUAACGAUAUGAAUCGGCUUUGUGAUCGAUAUUAGUCGUUUUUAUACCCUUUAUCUAUAUGGAGCCGGAAUAGUUGUCAAUCAAAGAACAGAAAUGACUCAGAUCUUUCCCAGGGACGAAAACGGGAAAUACCAUAACAAGGAAAAUAGCUUUAAGUAGUUUACGAAGCGACCCACAUUUCCACAGUGUUUCUUGAGAAGAAAGACCAGAUUUAGCAACAUAAGUGGUAUUACCUAUGGAAGAUGCCUCCGCGAAGAAGUUAUAGCAUCCAAAGCAGGCGGUUAAGUGACAUAAACCGGUGCAGCUCAUAGACGGUGGGAAAUGAAGUAAGGAAUUCUCGGUCUUAUAAUGCCUAAAGUAAGGAAUUCUCGGUCUUAUAAUGCCUAGUUUAAGUGAUGGGUACUCCCCGACUCCAGGUCUUCGUUCAUAACGAGGCACUCGACUCUCUAAUGUAGCAUAAGGCGCUUCAGUAAGCUUACAGAACAUAAACACUUUUUUCGGCCACGUCGGAGACAUCAAUCCGAAGUAAAGGAAGCUUUCUUUUUGAUAAGGAACUGUAGGCUUAGUCUCCUCUCUUUCUUGCUACUAUACCUCUUGCCACAAAUCAUUCUUAAACAGAAACUGACCUCGAGUUUUUCAUGUUUCAACGGAAGAAACUGUAGCUGUAGAAAAGAAAGGAGUUGGCGAAGGUCGUGGAGAGUUGGUAUCAGUUCAAUCAAUAAGGGAUGCAGAUGCUCAGGUACUAUUGACCACGGAGCUGUGUGUGACGCAUCUCUAUCUCUACUCUAAUGGGAUCUUCCGCUUAAGCUUCAGUAUCGGGUGCUUGUGUGAAACAAUGAAAGACAGUUAAGUUCUUGCGGAAUCAUAUGAUGGAUCGGAAGCUCUGCUCUAUCAAAUGAAGCAGUUGGCGCAGCAGCAAUUCAAGUCGAGUCGACGAGCAAAAAUCAAGAAGAAGGUCAAGAAUAAGGAUCCAAAGCAUAAGAAAGGGCUUCCCCUGGAGCAGGGUAUCAUGCAGACGAAGCGGGAGUUGGUGAGUUUACAGUUCAAUUGAAUUCCGCUUUCAAAUAAGAUUAUUACAUGUACAUAUUAUGCAAGAAAGUAACCUAACCCCGUUACUAUAAAGAGACUAACUCAUAUUAUCAUUCAUAUAUUACCUACCGAUUGAUUAAAAGAAGCAAUGCUGGUUGUUUACCAGGGUGGUUUACCAGAAUGAUAUGUUAGGCGCUCGAGAUAUGAAAUUCAUGAUUCUGCGUUAAGUAUUGCUGAAGUAUUGCCCGAAACAAGUGUAUCAGUGGCUAAAGCGUAAGUGAAAGGAGAAGGAUACGCAUCUUCAGCAACAGAAGAAGAAGUGUCAGAAGAAUUGCCAGUUCUAGUUUCAUACUUAAAAGAGGAGGAGCCCUUUGAGAAUGAAUGCCCACCUCGCGCUUAAGGCUAAAGUCAAGUAAGCGGGAAAGAAAGAAAGAAAACUGUGCGGGUCAGGUGCGAGUACCGUUUAUAGUGUUGGUGACAAGAUAAGAAGAGGUUAAGGCGCUUGUCAGAGGAACUUCAAGUUUACGAGAAUGGCCUGUGUAGUUCAGGGAAAUCAAAUGAUACUGGUUCUUUUGUCCUUUACUAAUCGGAUGUUGUACGUCAGUGGCUAAAGGUAUAGUUUACAGUGUUGGUAACGGGAGAGAUGGACUAAGCUGGAUGUAGAUGAAGCAGAAACUAGGUUCGGGUUUGGUAAGAAUAGAGUGCAAGGCUUGGUAUUAACUUCGUUUCUAUACCCAGUGCUCAGUAAGAGCUAUAUUCCAUUUCCAUUCUUUUCUUUUAAGAGCUAUAUUCCAUUUCCAUUCCAUUCUUUUUAGUAUAGGGAGCGCGUUAGUAUUAGUGGUGAUUUGGAGUUGAGUAGUGUUGUGACUUGAAUUAUAUGACAUAUGCCAGAUAGGCGGCUCAAAAGAGGUUUGCCCUAGUGACUUUGAUAGCUCCUAGUUACAGAAUAGCUCAAUUCUAUUAAAGCAAGGUGCUGAAAGCCCUAAAGAUGAGAGGCUGGAGACGACGCUAAUAAAGUGGAAUGUUGCAAAGCGAGAGAAAAGUAUACAAGAGAAAUCCGCAGGAGACACAUCUUAAGCUGCAAGGAAAGAAAGUGGAAGUGACGUUUAUGUUGAAGUUGAAUAGCUAGAGGACUCUGUUGCUGUUAGUUAAUUGCCAGAUUGUCUGUAAGUCGAAUUAGGACGCUGGAGAAUCAUCCUAAGGAUCUGAAUCCAUGUUGGCGCCUAGAGAAUCCGCAGUUAAGUAUCCCGUCCCGACCCUAUGUUGGUGCAAACGGUUCCAGUUGACUCCUUUGUUACUUCCGCCCUUGAAAGGAAAGGCUUUGCUAGCGAAAAAACAAGGGGAGAAAUCGAUUAAGGAAGAAUAUCACUACUGAGAACAAGGCUACUCACUACUAUUAUGAGAAUGAAAUUACCUGCUAUAAGAAUCGGCUACCUCACUAAGAGUUGUGCUCGGGUAGUUUAUUCCCUAGUUAGUAAGAUAAGUCUUGUUGGGCACUAUUUGCAGUUUGAGAAGCACUAGGACAAGCAAGCCGGAUAUUAGUAGUCAAAGUCUAAGUUCCGAGUUGAUUUCUUUUGAGGCAUAGUUUCAUUCCUUUCCCCUCUUUGAAUUCGAAUAAGUAGAGUAAGUAGUAAGGUUAUGGUAGUAAUAGAGUAGCUUGACGAGUGAAAUUCACUAACGAGUAAGCUUUUGAGGUCAGUAGCGAUAGAAUGAAAGUCAGGGGGCCAAGCUACAUAGUCAGUAGCGCGGUAGCGAGCUAAAAGAGCGGCAGCCAAUUCCAUUCGAUGUUACUAAUUUGCUUGAAUUCUAUCUUAGAGCAAGAACAGGUCAUUCUCUACUCCCCGCUUCUUAUCUUUAUUCCCGGGGUUACCAUCUGAGUGAAGCAAAGAAGCAAAGCAGUGUCAAAAAGAACUCGCUAACCCUUAACUAGAGUAAGCACUUGACUUUAUACCCUAGACUUGUUGAGUCAGCAUCAGGAGUAAUAUGUUUUGUUACCGAAGAAGCAACAGCACCAACUGAAGAAGAAGGAGGCAGAAUAUGGAGCAAGAUCCAAAUAAGUGUCUCUUUCCCUGCUCCGCCUUUCUAUAAACCAAUGUUGUUAAUAGAUUCAUUCCUUUUUCCUAUCACAUCUAAAGCCUCUAUAUCAUGUGUUACUUAUCUAAAAUCUGACUUUCUUGUUUAAGUAGCAAGUCUACAGAAGCUCCCCGCUCAAGAAGGAAAGUAGAGUUCUGGGAAAUCAAAUAGUACAGGUGUUUGAAGCUCCAUUUCAUUAAGGGAUGCUGUGUAAAAGUAGAUAGAAGCUUAAUGCGCGGGUAAGAAAAGAGUAAGCCAAAAAAAGGUCAAAAGAUGAAAUGGACAAAGUAACUACUAGAAAAGUAGAAGAAGCGACAGAGAACUAAGACUUCUAUAAGAAGCGAAGCGGUCUAAUACUCGGAUAUUCCCACUAAUCCUAUACUUAUACUUAUACUAAUCAGAAUAAGCGAUAAGAAGCAGCAAGCGAGUCAACAGGGUUAGGAGCAAACGACUGGGUAAGGAGCAAACGAUAAGGAUGUUGGGCAUAGAAACAGGUAAUAUUCCUCUACCCUAUCUAUAUACUAUUAUAGGUUUAGCAAAGGUCAAGCCUACCACAAAAGAGCUUCGUGUUGGGUCAAUUUCUGGUGUUUCUGCAGGAGCAGGAUAUAAAGCAAAAUAAGGAUAAGGAUCUCAAGCAUAAGAAUUGCUAGUUCCAGGUUACUCGGCUGCAGGGACGGGAGUUGUUGACCGAACAAGAUACACCCAAACUAGACUUUCAUUUAAUAAUCCUCAUAUGAAAUGAAUCUUUAUGGAGAAUUACCCGCUUCCACUCAAUACUACACUCGAUCUGUGCCCUUGCCCAAUACGGAAUAUCAAAAUCAUCUAUCUCUGCGCUUGAGACUUGACUUGAUACCGCACUGCUUACUGCUGUCUCUGCUCUACCAACUUACUGCUUCCUUGCUCUACCAACUUACUGCUUCCUUGCUGUCUCUUAUCCACCUAAUCCUGUUUCCACCUAAUACAACUUAUUUCGUAAAACUCAACACUCGCGUUAGUGCAAGGGCGAAAUCAUUGAAUAUCACUUGCAUAAAGGAAUAGCACUCUCCAAUAAUAUAUAGUAUUUUCACUAAACACAGAGAUAGUAUCUUACUUAACUAAACACAGGUUGCUUUUCUUGCGAUCUACCCGUUGUGCGCGCUUACGCUUAUUGGCUUUAAGGAGGGAAGGGGGGCCGUAGCUUAUCACGGUAUCCUCGAGGACGUAUGGAAAAUCGUGUUCAAAUACCGACCAUGCUUUCCAAAGACUCGUGGUCACACUCUGAGUGGUCCUUCGGCAUAGCUGUCUUAGGCUUUAUUAUCUUUCUUUAGGCUUAUAGCUCUUAUCUACUCAACCAGAGCUGUCUUAGGCUUUAUUAUCUUUCUUUAGGCUUAUAGCUCUUAUCCACUCAACGAGCAAAACGAAAUAACGUAUAUAAUAGCAGUACGAUUACCAUUGAUAAGUGCUAUGCUUUCUCUCAAGCAUGAUUCAAAGACAGAUAGUGAAGCAAAGCGCUUCCUCGAAGGCGAAGUAGAGUGACAAACGUAUCCGGGUAACGCAUCCACAAUUGGGGUUAACAAAGCUGCCCCCCCUUCUACGAAAUCCCAUUUCCAAUUGACUUCAAAUAACCGCUUGAUACUUGUUUACUAGAUUGACUUCAAAUAACCGCUUGAUACUUGUUCACUGGAAUUUCUUCCAAGAAAGUUUGCUCUGCUACUUGCCCGUUAGUUUCAUUUACUUCCGCUCCCUCUCAUCGAGAAAGCUAUUACACAUACUGACUAAGGAGGCACAGGCAAAUAGGUUCGUACGAAGAGGCAAGCGUUCACACAUCUGUCUCCAUCAUAUGUGUUGGGUGAAGAGCGUUUGACUAUGCCUGGGCCGGGGUAAAGAAGACAGGCAGAAGGAGUCAGCAGCUUCAGCGAGAGACUUUAUAUAGUAUAGGCUUUAUAUAUAGUAUAGGCUUUAUAGGCUUAUUUCUGAUUCUAAAGUCAAGGAAGCUUUUCUUAUUUCUUAUUAGAAAGUAUAAGGAAGUAAGUUCGCUAGCUGUACAAGGGGCAAAGAGUAGCAUUCCGGUCGAUAUUGAAUGCAAUCAAGCACAAGCAUGAGAAGCGGGAUCCUUUUCUCCUAUAGGCUUUUAUGAGAAGCGAGAUACCUUAUAUAGUAUAGUAGAUCUUAUAAGCGAGAUAUCUUAUAUAGUAUAGUAUAUUAUUAUAAGCGAGAUACCUUAUGCCCUUUCCCUUAAGAAGUUUCUCCUUCUCUCCUUAUUCUCGUAUAAAGAAGCAAUUACCUAAAAGAAAAGGUGACAGGCAGUUGGACUUAGCUUUCCCUAGUUAGGGGAAAACCAAUGAUAGAUUGGAAAGUAGCUGAAUUUCACCGAUGCUUCGAUCACUGUCUUUAACAAUUUGAUGGCUGUUAAAAAGCCUAGCUUACCUCUAAAGCUUUUGAUUAUAACUAUAGGGGGAUUUCGUUUCUGGUUUUCGUUCCAUCCGAGUCUGUCUUUAUUGACCCGCAAGUUUCGAAGUGAGAGUUGGAUUGAUUCUGCCAACCCCUAUGGGGGAUCAGAUUUCGCGAAAGCACUUUUGUAGGGCCUGGUGGAUUCCCUUUGCUCGCUCUUUCGACUCUAGUUAGUUAUCGCUCCAAGUAUGUAGCUCUCAAACUCUAUCGCUCCGUAAACUCUUUCCUUGGUGGCCUCCUUAGCUCCUACUUAAUAACGAAUUUCCAUUCAAGUCAUAUUCUCUAAAAGAAGACGAUUACAAUCAACGAGUCUAAGUAUUAUCUUGCAAAAGAAUUCUUAGCUAUUCGCAAUGUGAGACUGUAAAUGCCUUUUCAAAACACUGUACUACCUUAUACCCUUUUCAAGUGGAAAAUCUUCAGGCAAGAGUAUCGGCUAAUCACUAAAACACUCACACUCUAGGAGAAUAAUUCGAUUCCAGAAGCUCUUCAACCAAAUCAAACUGGCUUACAGUAUCGGGCAUACAACAAUAAAGAUCGGAGAGAAACUACCGCUAACAAGGCCAUGGGAUUUUCCUUGUGGGGUAUCAGUAAGGAAUUGGAAUGGAAUAAUAUUCUCCAAUUCGAAAUGCAAUAUCAUAAGAGAAGAAGUGUACGUUCGAAAUCACUUGAUUCUUGUUUCUUCUGGCGAACUUCAUUAUCGGUUUCUAGUUGAUCGAGAAAGCUCCGCCCAAUAGAGCCUAGCCAAGAGUUUACCGAAAUGGUCCCUAGAAGCCGGUCCCCGGUAGCAUAAGAUCCUUUCAACCUAUUUGAUUUAAGAAAGAUAGAAUAGAACCAUUUGUUUAUUGAAUCACAAUUUGAGGAGCUUUUCAACUAGCAUUACUGGGAGAAGCAAUGCCGAGCUUUUCAACUAGCAUUACUGGGAGAAGCAAUGCCCAGGGGUGUCAAAAGCGUACAUCGAAAAGGAAUGGAACAGAACUCUCACUCGAUUAAGAGAGCUCCCCUAAAAAGGAGUUUCAAAUAGUCAGGCUUUCUCACAGGUUUGCUAAUUGUAUGGAUUGUUUGAACUUACUUAUUGCGCUAGCUCUAUCAUGGAUUGUUUGAACUUACUUAUUGCGCUAGCUCUAUCAUCCUUAUAUAUCCAAAACUCUAUUCCUUUCCUGCGGUUGUAGAUAUUCAAAGGCAAGCUAACCUUCAAUGCUAGCCAAAAGGCAUAUGAGGGAGGGGGUUUGCUCGGCUCCGCUCGGAUAGGGAAGGAAUCUAUUCAUUCUCUUUCCAAAACCCAAGUACAACGGGCCUAUAGCAAAAAAGUCUAUACCAGAUGGUUCGACUACUGAUGGACGACCGGCCGACAUACUAGUACAAAACUUCUCAUUUCAGCAAGAUAGGAUGGAUUUUAGAACAUCUGAUUCUCAAGUUUAUGAUUCACCAACUGAUAUCCUGAGAAAAGAUCUGAUAUGGGGUAUAUGCUACAGUAUAGUAAGCAAUAGCUCUCUACACCGCAACUUUGGCAUGAGAACUGAGAGUCGAUUCGGCUUACUUAUACGAUUCAACUUCAACUAGUUAUGCAGCAGCGAGAUCAGUGAUUGGCUUUCUCUUUGUUGUCUGUAAUGAAUACAUGUAGUAGCGAUAUCUUCUAGCAAAUUGACAGUGCCAGCUACUGCUUUCGAUCUACCACUUGUUAGCGCUGUUCCCGCAACUUAAAGAGGAGAAUUUGGUGCCAAAGAAAUAGAAGCAUAGCAUAAGAUAAUCUCGGUAGCCGAAACGAACCCUAUACACUUUUUUAGAGGACAGAGGCAUACGUUGCACUAGCUUAGGGUGAAGCGAAAGAAGACGAGCGGAAAUGCAAGUUGAGUUCUUGGCUUGACUUGACGCUUGACGUCGGUGCGAGUGUAAUCGAAGUUCUUGUGUUGGUGCUGUCAAAGUAGUAGAAGUUAGUGUUGUUUGUUGACGAGAAUCGAAUGGAUCAACGGUGAAAAGGCGCCGUUCUUCAAGCAACUGAAUAAGCUGGUCUAAGCAGAAUCUUAAGUUCGAGGAAAGGAAACUUAAGCUCGACUAAAGGAGAGGAAAGGAAACUUAAGCUCGACUAAAGGAGAGGAAAGGAAACUUAAGCUCGACUAAAGGAGAGGAAAGGAAACUUAAGCUCGACUAAAGGAGAGGAAAGGAAACUUAAGCUCGACUAAAGGAGAGGAAAGGAAACUUAAGCUCGACUAAAGGAGAGGAAAGGAAAUCAAAGGCAGACCCAACGGAGGAUGGCUUAAUUAAGAGAACGAUAAUGGCAGUGAUAGGCUUGGCUGCCAGCAGUGGUUAAAGAAUUUCCCUUCAUCCCGCCCCGUCAUCAGCAUUGAAAGAAAGAAAAGUAGACUUGUAAAUGUUGACCAGCCAAAGAGUAAUCUUUCCCCUAUUAUUAGUAUAGGUUCAGGAAGAUGGAAAAUGUGCUAGGGUAACUGUCCAACUGUCCGUUGCUUCUUUCUGGAGUGCUUGAACUUCCUCUUUACCUGUUUCGGCUCGCUAACUCGCAACAAAUAAUCAAUUUCAACAAUCUAUUCCCUAAGCACCGAGUCCACCAGUCAUUUCUUAUCGAGACAGCGUUUGUAAGCUAACCUCAAUGCUUGUCUUUUGCUUGAAAACGAACUUAUUGCUUUAAUCAUUUAAGAAAAUAAGAUGGAUGGAAGAUUACCUUAUUAUAUACAUUACUAAACACCUUUCUUUCAACCUAUAGGAGCUUGUCUUUGGAAUGGAACUGACAAAGGAGUGAUCAUCGAAUUGCACCGCAACACCUCUACUUUGGCAUGAGAUUCGAGCUAUAUUCUCUUAGGCUUAUGAUUACUUUGACACUGAUUCACUUACCUACACUAGCACUUCUAUUUCUUAACCAACAUAAUCUGAACCCUAACCUCUCUCGUAAACGACUUUAGUACCCAAAGUGAAUUAACUUAAAGAAUCUCUUGCCGCUGACUUCCGAACAAUACUGGAAAUUGCAGCUUCCUUACUUUAUCCUAUUCUUUAUGAUUCUCUAGCUUCUGCGCAAGGAAAGUCGUAUGUCUCUUUUCUUUUGGUGCGAAAGUCCAGUUCCGUUCGAGUGUUGUAUCUCAGUGUUGGCGCAAGCAAGUGAAAGUCCUGGUUUCCUCUUUAGUGCUAAUGCUUACUUGAGCUAGUGCGUAGAAGCCGUUGCGCCUUAUAGUAUUUGAGUUCUGAAUCAUACAUAUGUAAAUGAGUUAUUCUACUCGUAUCUGAGGUUUCCCGCAGCUUUCAGAAUAGAAUAUAAGCAGCUUUCUGAAGCCUUAACCAAGUUCAGUGGUGAGCUUGUGUCUAAGUAUGGUUCUGGAAGUAUAGUUCCUUCGAAUGUUUAAGUAGAGCGGCUUGCUUUACCUUAGAGUGCUUUUCUUUCCCGAGUCGUGGUAGGCUUUCCCUUUGCUUAAAGAGUAAUAGAAUAGAGUUCGGCAAAAGAACAUGUGGAGUCUCGUACAGAAGAUAGAUCAUCAGCUGGAUAUGAAGCCGUAUAAAGAAGCGGUGCAGUAGAAAGUUGUCUGAAGUCAGCAGCAAGCGCAAGCAAGUAAACUGCAAGCGGUUCUACAAGUCGUUCUGUUCUAGUGAAAAUCGUAUGAAGGAACAGGCGAAAGUAAGUCAAGCGGAACUUCAAGUCGACGAGAGAGAUAGAUUCAAUUCAAAUGAAAAACAAGGCGAUCUAUAGAUGAAGCUAACGUUGGGGCAAUAAAAUAUUAAUGACUAACGCUUCCGCCCAAGAAAGACCAAAUUAUGGUAGCUUCCCCUGCCCUCAAAGUGAAAUGGAGAGUUUGACUCGGUGCUAAAAGGAAGUCCGUUUCUUUUCCUGCGGGGCGCUUACUGAUAGUUUGAAAUUGAAAUGAAUUAAUUGAAUUCUGUUUCUCUUGUCUAGUAGUUCCUUGUCUGCGAGUCGGUCACUAGCUUGGGAGUUGACAGAGUGGAAGUUAGAAUGCAACUCGAUGUAGUAAAAGUAGGAGUGAAGCCAAGUAGUAGUCCUGUGUAAGGGAGUUGACAGUUACAGUAAGAGUGAAGUCGUAGAGAUCCGUAGAAGAAACAAAAUAAGCAAACUCAGUAUCAGACGAAGCAGAUGCAGUUGUUAUUAACUCCCCCCGCCUCCUCUUCUUCCACCGUCCAAUAAGACUAAGCCAGCGCAGGAGCCAACUUGAAACCGUGUACUCCACGCAAAGGUAAAGCACCGAAACAGUAGCUUAGCUUAGAAACCAACCCGUAGUACUGUCCCCAAACCCCGGGAGCAGAUAUAUAAGUGGCACAGGACUCGGAGGAGAGACUUGGUAACAGCUGCUACUAAUACAUUAUUAUGUUUCUUUCUUUCUCUCUUUGCCUUUAGGCUUUGUAUGGAAGGUAAUAGAGAUGCCCUUGUUUAACGCUUCAAUUCAGAAUGCAUCAUGUGUUGUAGAAUUCAUAUUUCAAGAAUAUGGGACAGAAUGCAUAAUCAACAUAGUUAUCUCUUUCUUCUUUUUACUACUUAUGUGGGAUACUGAUCCAUUCUUUUGUUUCUGAUGGAAACGAUCUGGGACGGAAGGAUUCGAACCUCCGAAUGUAGGGACCCCGCUGCCUUACCGCUUGGCCCUUUCUGGUUCCCUUGCUGGUUCAGCUAACUAUCCCUUUGGUUACCCUGUUUCUAUAUGAAGUGCCCGAGCAGGUGAAGUUGAGGUUAAAGAAUGAUGUGUAGCCAUAGGAGAGGUACGCAAGGGAGAAAGCGAGUUCAAUAACCACUUAAGUAGAGGUAGAGGAAGCAAGGGGAGUGAUUGUUUCAAGUCAUAAUUCAGUUAUGGGAGCGUAGGUACAAGAGUUGGACUUACUGUUGGAAUUCUGUGUUUCCAAUUGAUUUCCCCACUCUUCAAAAGUCAGUAAAGUGGAUUUAUGUUCUUGUGUCGGUUGCCAGUACUUUUCUUGUUUAGUGUUGUAGUGGAUAAUUGCCUGUUCCAGGGUGAGUGUGAGUUAACACCAAGUGCUUUCCUUUGCCCUUAAGUAAUUGGCUUAAGGAGCCCCGGCAAAUAGUCCUUCUUUUUGAACAUUCAUCUUAAAGCUAUGAUCCAAACCAAUUGACUUAGAUUGAAUAGGAAGGGUUCUUUUAGGAAGAACUAAGGAAUAACUAUCAAACUCAAAGAAAACAACGAGGCUCCCCGCAUGGGGUUUAUUGUUUAGCAGAGCGAAAGGAGAGGGAGGUCUUUCUCUUUGUGAAGAAUUAGCCAUAGGAUCAUUGAUCCAGACGACAAAAGGCACAUGUCCUUCAUAGUUCGAGCGAGGUGGGUAUGAGGCUUAUUUUGAAGAUCCCAUUUUGUUCAUUUGAAUAGAAGUGACAUAAUAUAGAAUUGCAUUUCAGAUUCAUAUAAGUUCUUAAUAAGAUUCUAUUACAUUUAGUAACAAUACACUGUUGCGCUAUAAGAUUCUAUUACAUUUAGUAACAAUACACAAUACACUGGUUACAUAUUGAUUUAUGAAUGAAUGAAAGGGAAAGGAAAGGAAAGGUCAACUUAAGAGCCGAGCAGAGCGGCUAUCUUUCUAUUUUGGAAUAAAUGAAAGGAAAGGAAAGGCAGCCAAACCCCAUACGAAAAUAAAGCUGUAGUGUUUUUGUUACUUUCAUCUAUGAGUGGUGCACGUCAUAUUCCAUACCUUUGAUCUACUUAAUGUACUUCGACUUGAUACGUUACGAUAGACUUUCUACUUAUCUUGGAUUAACCACAAGGCAGAGUUGGGCCUGUGAACAAACAAGACUCAGUGCUAAAAGGAAGGACUCCCGUUAGCGCUAAACUCCAUUCAGAAUUGUUGAACAGAAGCUCGCACCUGACCUAUAUACCCUGACCUUUAAGCUAAAGCUGUCCUUACUUUGACUCCAAGGUAUGGUGAAUACAGAGUUCGAUUAAGUAGUAACAGAGUUAGCCUCGUUAAGGAAACUGACGCUCGAACACAACAAACAGUAGUUAGGUCUUUGCUUUGAGUUCAAUUAUUUAUUAGUUGACUCCGGUUGCAUCAGUAGUUUUGAGUUUCAUCCCGAUUCCUUACCUGGUGUAGUAUAGUUGUCAAGAGCAAUAACUGUAUUAGUAGCUAGAGGUAUUAAUGAAGCAAUAGGUAUAAAAGAUUCAAUCGGAAUCAAGUACUGGUUUAGAACUAGAGAAUUGAGUUGACUAAGGAGAGGCCAGGCGCACACAGGACAAUUCCGUUAGAUUCGAUGGAAGGGUAUAGUAUAAAGGCGGAGGCAUAGGUAUCGGAUAACCAGUAUCUUUAGCUAAGCAAUAAGGAGUUCAGUCUAGAGUUGAGUACCCGAGUAGCCAGAGUUAGAUGAGCCUCAUUCAGUUAUAAGAGAGGAGUUCGGGGAAGACUUACUUACUUGCCUUUAAGCGCUAAGUCAGAGGAUAGAGUCAAAGGCUAAGGCAACCUUAUAUACGAGUUCCAAUUCCAAUUAUGAAAUAAGAAAAGAUAGGCCAAUGAACAAGUGUGUUAGUUUACUUUCCGGAAUGUCGCCCACUAGACGCUUAAGCUGUUCGAGUUAAGUCGACUCAAGAAUCACCAGUAGGAAUCAAAUAAGUUGUUUCAAGAUCCGUCGUAGUUGCUAAGGUUAGCUUGGUUGUUAGCGAUCCGAGUUUAGCUUACAUAAAGGGUGUUGAAAUGGAAUGUUUGAUUAUUCCAUUAUUAAGUGUUAUAAGAUGUGCUCGAGAGAGAUUCAAUGAAUGUUUUCGCGGAACAAGUUCAAUUACAGCGCAGAAGCUUUAUUUGGUGAGUAAGCUGUUAUAGAAUAAGGAGAAGACUCAGUUGAAAGAGAAUCAGAUGUAUAUGUAUCUGAGGCUGGAGCAGGAUAUAGAGCAGUGCCAAAGUAAGCUGCAAUGAGAGUCUUCAUCCCUUGGUGGAAUACUGUACUUGUUGAAUACCGGGUAAGUAGUCCUGUUUCAUCAGUAGUGGAGUUGUUUCCAGGGCUUGUACGAACUCCGUACUAUGUAUGGGGGCUGCCGCGCAACAAGGCACCUACUGACGCGACACGGGUUUACUUUACUAACUUAUAAGAACUUUGUUAUAACUGUCUUGAUUGUUCUUUACAGAAUAGUCAUGAGAUCUGCCUUUCGGGUAAGGUAAGAAAGAAUAGCUUUCAUUAUUGUUGAAAUUGGUACCAAAACCAUCAAAUUGGAUUUCUGGGAAGUAGUUAUCAAAGUGUUUGAGUCUACCUUUUUUGGGACGGAAACCAUAUGGUGAGAGCCUUUUGGCAUAUGUUCCUAAUUGCUUUGGAAUCUAAACCAGAAAGGGUGGACAGGGUCGGGUAAUAAGGAUUGAUAAGGCCCUUUGUUCGGAUAGAUAUUGGAACCUAUAAAUAAAGGAAUUCGAUCUUGCCUGGACCCAGCUAUACAGAUUUGCAACAUGAUUUUAUGGACAUGUCAGGCCGCUUCGCUUUUAUUGUUUUAGAAUGGAUAACCGGGGGGGCAAGUAGGGAACCUGGCAAAGUGGCUUCCUGAUCGUAGACCACCCUUAGUUUCGGAUAUUAGGUGAGAGGGCGCCUAUAUCAUAGCUCUUACUGUGCUUUCUGGAUACACCUUUCCAUGCUUGAACAAGUCCGCACCCGGAUCUUCUCUUAUAAGCAAGUCGCUUUUAUUUGGCAAUAGGCAUGGUAUGCAUUUGAAGCGAAGGGCGCUAGCGCGUCGUAAUCAAAUAAUAAGUGGAGCGGAACACAGUUGGCUGAACAAAAGACGUAUGACUUUCGAAAGUAAGGAAAGACGUUGUCGGGAAAAGGAGCUCUAAUGGUACUAUUUGGGAAUAAUAAUCAUAAUAAUAGGGCUUCAUAUAGACAAAUCCAUUAUUUGAAAGAGCUAGGCAGCGACUCUCUAGCUUACUGCUAUUCUUACUUAUCUUAUGGGACUUGAAGCAAAGUAAAGGCAGCGCGUUAUAGUCAGUAAAGAUAUAGAACUUUGCCGGGGAAAGGAAAUAUUCCAUAAGUGUGUUUGCCAGACCCGAGAACCUUUGCUUGGAAGCACCUUCCUUUGGUUUGAAAGGAAAGAAGUGUGUUUGCCGGAGCACUCCCCAGCGAGGCGAGCUACAGCGGCACGACACCCUAAACCGACUUACUUGCAUAAAGCGACCUGCACUCUCUUAAACCUAGGUCAGUGAGAAUGAGAGGAGGGAGUGUACAGCCUUCAACCAGUACCACCGAGCCAAGCAACUAUCAAUCUGGUCUGAAACUCUCACUCGACAAACAAGAACAGACAGAUACUUUACUUCCGUUCGCACCCUAGUUCCUCUUGACUUCCGCUCGCACCCUAGUUCCAGUUCAAGUGUCAGCUUCAGUGAUAGUUUCGGUUGUAAAUGGAGAAAGUACUUGCUUUGAGGCUAGGCGAUAGUAGCAACAGUAGGAGUGAGUCACAGUAGGAAAAGAAUCAAGAGAAAGUACUCGCGAUGCCCUAGCCGGUGCUCUAGCUCUAAAUAGAGGCCCUUAUUGGUUGUUUCGGAUGCUUGUGUUAAUCAAUGAGGAAAAGAUAUAAUUGUGUGGCUAUGAUCUAUGUUAAUUAACUACUUCAUUCUAUCUAUUAUUAUUAAGGAUUGAGUUUCGAAAGAUAGAAGUGCUGUGUUCGUCUGUCUGUUUUCGUUUCUUUCUUCGUCUAUCUAUUUUCCCUUACAGGCAGCCUUAUUAGUCGCAGCUCAAUUACAUCGACCCUUGUUCUCGGUGGUGGAAUUUCUACUUAUGGGGUUCAGGUGAAGCGGGAUAAUCCAUUCUGAUUUUCUAGUGAAACGCCCAGUUCCUGGGUUCGAGUCUGGCUUCCUGCCUUAGUCUUAUGAGUUACAGUCUGGUAGUAGUAGCAGUUGUAUUAUAUUAGUAGUUGAUUUCCUAGUUUCUAGUUCCAUUAUUGUUAUCGGUGGAUCAAUUCUAUAAUGGAGUAGGGGUGUAGCCAGUUCCGAGGUUGCUUCCCUAAGUCAGGAGUCUAAGGGUUCAAAGUAGCUACUUGUCUGUUGGCAGUGGUUUUGGUCUUAUAUCAUAGUAGUGAACAAUCAAAGACAGGAAAGUAAGCCUCUCAGCCGACAGUUAAAGGAUCCGCAGUGCACUACUGGAUUCUAAUAUCUAAUAGUAUAAGCCUAAUUCUAAUAAUAUGGGUGAGCGGGCUUAGAAACAGUAAAGUCCAUACUGAUCUUAAAAGUAGUAGCCCAAAGUGAAUAAAUCAGAAUACAAAUAAGUCAUCAAAGAAUGAGGGAGAAUCACCACAAGUAAGUAAAAGAAUCAAACACUGCAAUAAAGAACGCAAGUGUUGAUGUAUAGGCUGGAUUUGUCCAUUAGAGAGAGGGGCGGUAGUCGGAUUCCAGCUUUUUAGUGCAUUUCUUAGUUCCGAGUUGUUCUCUUCCCUUUUAGUUCGAUUCACUGACACAAUAAGUAAGUCUGAUAUUUACAAUAAGUAAUGAAAGAAUAUGUGACGCGCUUCAGAACCCCUACCCUAUUUCUCCAAGUUUCACCUAUGUUCAACGUAGCCCAUGUAGCGGUAAAGAAGUAACCUGAACUCGUAGACAACACUCGAACAACUCUCAGAUCUUUAUUCUGAAUUUCGAGUGGAGCGCUGAGGCAUAAAUCAAUUGGAACUUACCCUUAAGCGGAAGUCAAAGAAGAAUUAAUGGAAUCUUUCGUUCACCUAUCGUAUUAUGUUAUGUAAUGGCAGAUAUGAUCUUAACGAUGAAACUCGAACGUAGCUUGCAGGAUACCCUGACUUGCUAUACGAUUCAACAAUCAAGGGAACUAUGUAAGCCUUAACACCGUGGUUAGUGCGCAAGAACUUCCUUAAGCCUUAACACCGUUUAGUGGGCCCGCUGAUUCAUUACUUUCAGAAUCAAUUACAGCUUCAAGUUAUUCAUUAGAAUAUCUCUCUUAUCGAGCACACUUCUUUCACUUGGUAUAGAAUAUAUGGUUGGUAAAGAAAAGACUCACUGCUUACUCUCGGGCUCUCGGGAGCAUACUUUCCUUACUUACUUACUCUUUAUCUACUAUUUGCUUGGCUCUAACUGCGGACCUCUGACUUGUGCCAAGAACAACCCCACUGGAUUUCUGAACCGACCCCAAGAGUAGGAGCAACCCCAAGAGAUUAUCGACUUGCAGAACAGACAACAAUACAAGUUUACUGCCCGAGCAUCCAAACCAGAUUGGAAGAAAUCAAACUGUCAUUGCUGCUUACAAGCGUAACUCUGACUUUAGCCUUAAGCGCUCCGGGUUUGGUAUUCAUUCUUCAACUUCCAGAGAUGAGCUUCGGCUUUGGUUUCGGUUUUGAUAGUUGUUCUUUCGUUUUUGCCUCUUCUUGCGUCUGUAGAACGCAGGAAUAACACACAGGAAUGGCAAGUACGAGAAUCCCUAAGAGCUAAGACUAACACAGAGGAAUAGAAGUAUUGAGUCUAAGACUUACACUGGGACAUGGGAAUGUAGGGCAGCGGGGGAAGUUUGAAAGUAAGCAUAUAGCCUAGUGCUCUGACUUUCUCAUUGAAUUCUGGAUUGACUAUACUUGCAAGAAAGAUCCAGUACCCGUUUUCAUAAUCUAUAUCUGUGUUUAAAGAUUCCAGUACUGUUUUCAGAAUCUGUACCUGUGUUGUUGUCGACGACCUUCUUUCUUUGCCUUCACCUUGAUUAUAGCCUUCUUUUCUUCCAGCACUAAGUGAAUGAGUGUAAUGUAAUCCUAUCCAGCCUGGGGCGAGUAGAAAGGAAGCAGCAAGUAGUUCUUUAAAUGGAGUUACGUUGGGGGGGAUAGGGAUGCUGCGCGAGUAGAAAGGAAGUCAGCUGCGAGUGCAGUAAGUGGUUCUUCACUGAAGGUUUAGGUCGGUUCAACAAACAAGUUCAUGAGUUAUUGUUUCAUAAUAUAUAGAGAAGAAACUGUAUCAGGAGUGGGAACAACAGAGGAUGUCCGCUACUACCACAGAAGGGUUAAUCCAAUACUUAAAUAGGUCAAGCCAAACACUACCUUUAACUACGCUGACCCGGGUAAACUCCCGGUUAUAGAAAUGCAUUGUCAUCAACACAGCAAACAGGUCCUUAAGUUGAAGCGGGAAGUAAAGGCUUUGAGGCUAGGUCUACUUCCAUAUCGCACCCUUGAGUUUCAUGAAAUACCUUAUCCGGAGUUGAGAGUUGAAAAGGAAGCUCCCUUUUAUCCCGUAGAGAGAAUCUGAUUGUCGCGUAUCCACUUAAGUAAGUAUCUCGCUCCCCUUUUCUAGAGAACACAUGGAUAGAAGCCUAAGUUGGAGUUUUCGGAUAAGCGAAGCGGGAUUCCCUUUCCAUGGUAAGAAUUGAAACCAGCGCAAACAAGAACGCAACAAGGACACUAUAGAUUGAGUCACUGCCUGGGGAAUACGUCUAAUAAGUAGGAGAAUGAAACGGAGUUAGGUUAUACUUAGAGUUAGUAGUGGUAAGCCAAUAGACUGUAUAGUAAGGCGGAGUAACAAACAUAGGAAAUGUGGGCAAUGGUGCUAGUUGGCAAUUCAGAUCUGAGGUCGGUAACGCAACACCCAAUGAAGAAGAAAAGCGAUGAGCCCAAGAGUUCAGGUCGGAGAGACAGGCUUGCAGGUGAUAAAGUGAGACUUAAGUCUCGGGGGGCUUGUGAAUGAGAAACAGGAGCUCCGGGCUGAUAUAGAGUAGUUGCAUACUUGGAGUUAGGAGCUACAGACCUAGAUAAAGCAGUGGAAUAGACAAACUCGCUCGGCAUUGAGAAAGAGUGUAGCGGCUGCCUUAGACAUAUGUAGUUUCUAUAUUACAAAGGAGCCAAGAGCAAGAAUGGAAUACUUCGUUACCACUUAAGCAUACGUGGUCAAUUAAGAAUAAGCGUAUUAGAUAAAAGGUAGGAAUGAGUCAAAGUUUGAAAACAAGCAAAGGAAACAGUUAAUUGAACUUUAGCCAAUACCCAGAUACUUUACCGCAUCAGAUCCAACAAGCAACGAAUACUAUAUAGUGUUCUAAAGGGGAUUCAUAUCCUGCAUAUUUCCGUGAGCAGUUUCUUCUCUUUCUUCUGUUAACUCGCACAGUGGAUUCUGUUGUCGAACUAGACUUUACCUCCGCUUUGUAUCCGUAUAGAAAAGGGAGGUCAUUGUGGAAUAAGAGGCUUAGCCGUGAAGAAGAGGUGUCUCAGUGAGGAAGGGGUGUCGCGGGUAAUCAACAAUUCCAUUCAUAACUUCAAGUGCUGUUUCCGAGAGGUCGGAUAGCCCACAUGUAAAGGUUCGCUAAAGAAAGUGUAUAAAGUAAGUAGCGCUCGGUAGCUGCUAUUCAAGUUCGAGUCGACAACUUCAUAUUGUUCUCAUCCCCAAGUAGCGGUGGUUCAGAGAAGCUUUGUACUCACUAACAUCUAUACUAUAUGCUCGAUAAGACAGAUAAGAUAUUCCAUUCCAGUUUUCGGGAGCGAAACUGUUAUAGUGCAGUGCAUUUAUUCCCAACAUCUUGAUGGUUCACUUCUUUAUGAGAAAGUCCUGGCAAAUUCUUCUUAUUCUGUUUCUUUACUUAAAGACUUAAAGUGGAAUUCUGUAAAGACUCUUAAAGUGGAAUUCUGACUUCCGGAGUUGGAGAGAAGAUCUGAAUAGUAGGAGUUAUGUCAAUGCUGAAUAGUUAGAGUUAUGUCAAUGCUGAAUAGUAAGAGUUAUGUGUCUAAGCGUUAGCCCAGUUAGUAAGAGUUUCUCAUCUGUGUUUCUUGGCGACAAUAGAAUAAAGAAGCAGUUCCGUUUCUCGGACAGGCUCAUAUUGGUUGGGUAUGCUCUUUUCAUAGGCAACUUUCCAGAGGGUCUUCAAGCCUAUAACUAGAAAUCCAGUCUUAUACUAAUGCGCUAGAUCUCUCCCUCUGCCUUCUACUACUAGUACUAAAUGCUGAGUUUCAGACCGCUCCCUUAGUUCAAGUAUUUAGCUAGUUGCCAGAGUUCGAUAAGCCUAAUUCAGGUAUCAAACUAAAGAUAUCAAGUCUAGUACCUUAGUAACAAUGAGUCACUACUAAAUCAUUAGCCAGGAAUUGCUUCCCUUGCUGACCUAUACUGUUACUACUUAGUUCCAUUCUUUAAGGAGUUAGUUCAAUUCUGACCCAUGGAGUUCCAUUCUUCCUUUUCUUCUCCUACUCCGACUCUUGCUUUUGGAGUAGUAACUUGGCCCCUACUAAAUGAGAUCUUAUCCGUAUAUAUGAAACAGGAACCUGAGUUUAAUCCGAAAAAGGAUCAUAACCAGAAACAGGAUUUGAAACUGGCCUUAGAAUGAAUUUAUUGCCUAUAAAACAGGGCUCCGUUGCUUAUGUGUAGCAAUGAAAUACGAGUUCCAGUGCCCUUAAGUAAUUGGUUUGAAACUAGAGACCUUUACUACUUGCCCACCUCUGCUCUGUCAACUAAUCCUGUUAUGGCUCUGUACUCUGGACUACUCUAAUCUACCGGAGUCAACCACUAUACUACUAGGAACCGCUCCUUAGCGCAACUAAAAACAAAGCUUGGCCCCGCUUCACUUCAGAUCGAGUCGACUUAACGGAUUACUUUAGAACAGAGCUUUCUGGUUCCCUUGCUUGAAGAUCUUUGUCCUGUGCCACUUAUAUAUCAGCAGCCUAUCCUCUUGCAACAAAUCAUUCUUCUGUGCCUUUCUACCACGCUAGCUGAGGCUUCAGAUCUUAAAACUCCCUAUACAGCGGAUUCUCUUUCUUCUGCAGCCGUAUCAAGUCAAUCAACAGAUUUCAUCUCUGCUGACCCGACCCCUGACUCUGGGCCCUGUCUCUUUUAGUCUUAUACUUACUCGUUGCAUUCUGACUUGAAUACUGAGACGCUAGAACUCAACACUAAACAAGAGCUCCCGAAACUAGUACUUUACCUCGGAGCAGACUGAAAAACAUCCCCCAAAAUACAGGGUAGUAAAAAAGCCCUACCCUGACUUUAGGAUUCGGAUAAUUUAUACCUUUUCCACUACUCUACUACUACAAAUACAGAUGCUACAGGACCAACCCACUCACUAAAACCCGGCAAAAAAGGCAGCACAUGGAUUUCCCCUCCUGGAAGGCCUGAUUUCAAUGAUCUUUUUUAAGAAACCCGGGAAAAAACAACGCAUGGGUGAGAGCUCCCAAAAACAGGACUUGGUAAUGCGAAGAAAGGAAUUGUUAUAACAAGCGGAGAAAGGAAUUGUUAUGACUAGUUAUAAUAUAUCUAUGCUGUUGCUGCCGCGCAGCUUUAAACUCGCUGCCGCUCUGAACUCCUGACGCCGAAAGCAUCUAUUGUUAUAAUUCGAGGGAAUUAUAGUAAGCGGCCCUGCCGCGCAACGUUAGUAGUUGCUUGCCUGUUGCUACCGCCCAACGUCUUGCGCCGCCUAAAACUCACUGCCGCGCCACGUUAGUAGUGUCUUGGCGGUCGUUAGUAGUUGUUUGUCUAGUAGUUACUUGGCGCGCCGUUGCUUGGUCGGAACGUUAGUAGUUCCUUGGCCCCAGCUAGAGCACCCAUUGGGAAUCCAAAGUGGGCGUUUUCCCGUGUUUUUUCAUAGCGACCCCGAUUUCCCUGCUAACGAGGUCCAAAAGAAUCUGAUCUUUGCGUUUUCCCGGGAUUUUGGAUAGCCAAGGUAAUUUCCCUCCUGGAUCACCCAUUUGGAAUUCUCUUUUUCCGUUUUCCCGGGAAACAGCGCUGGCGCGUAACAUUAGUAGUUACUUGCCUGAUAGCAAAUAGAAUUUCCCUCCUAAAGGGUUCGAUGUAUCUUCUUUUUUUCAUCAACCCCGUGUUUUUUGGUAGCCAAUAUAGACUUUCUUUACUUAUAGCUUAGCUUCAAAGCCUCCAACUAAGUCCUGUGUGAGCCUGAUGUACUAGAUGCUUACUACUAGAUGAAUUCUAUGACUACUUUGUUUCUUUCUUAUAUGUACACUUGUUUGAUUCUGAUCUAGUACCUAACAUAGGAUAAUGGAUACCCUGACCUACUAGUUGACAGCUGAGUUCCAUUCCUUUACUUACUUAUUUCAUUGGUUGACUCCCUUGGUUCAUUCUGAUGCCCGAUGUGAAGAAAUAAGACUUGUUGGCAACUGAGUGAAGACUGGUUGUUAGUAGUUAGAUACCUUAGCUACAGGCUUACUAGCUACAUACUAAUACCUAGCAGACACCGCUUCAGUCUAGUAAUUAGUGGUAUCAGGCUUGGAUGCACAGGUGAAAGUCUCAGUGGUACCGGGUGAAGCCUGUAACUACGGGAGUGAAUUCUGAAGCUACAUGCCCAGCAGCACGGGUUAUAGCCUCAGCAGCUGCGGUCGGAGCCUGUAACUCACUUGUUUGGUUCUUUCAAUACCGAGCUCCAUUCUUCUACUUACAAGUUUCGUUCUUUAAUGACUUAGCCCGAGUCCCAAGUGUAGCUAUAGCACUGGCAAACACAGCACUUGCACUAGACGAACUCUUUCAUUUCACUCCAGUACUAUACUCAGAAAUACCUCUUUCUAUUACACUAAGAAAUACCUCAGCUACAUACCCUUACCAAUAGUGGAAUUCGAACUUCCUGCCUUACUGGCUCCUUCCCUUACUAGCUCUUUCCCUUACUAGCCCCGAACACAGGACCACUGACUUAAGGCUUACUACUAACUAGUUCCACUCUUUCUUCUCUGGUCAACAGUUGCAUUCUAUAAGUUAGCUAACAAGGCUUAUACCUAAUAGUUGUACUCUGUAACUGCCUACUUGCCCACUAGCUCCACUCUUUAACUCCUGGGUUCGAUUCUUAGUCUCUGCUUGGUUUCAUUCUUGUUAGGAGUGGUUUCAGUCUGUUAGUGCAGUGAUGCAUUCUCACUACCUUGACUCUAAGUCUCGCUACCCCUACUUUAAGCCUGCCCAGCAUCGGUAUCAGUCUUAAGCACUAGCAUCGGUCUUACUACCCUUGCUUUCAGACUUGGAUUCACCAGCUUCAAUCAGAGCGGACACCGUAUCAGCCUUGGAAGCACUGAUUUCAAUCUUAGUCCUGUAGUAGCUAGUAGCUAGGUCAACUCUUACUUAUGGGUUUGAUUCUUUAGCCUUCUACUCAGCUACCUGGUUUGAUCCUGAUACUGCUUAGGGACAUUCUGAUUGGUAGCAGCUUCAGUCUGGUUAGCCCUGGCUCUAUUCUCUAACACCUACAGAUCGGUCCGAGCAACACUUGUUUUAGUCUGUAACUACCCAGUUGAAGCCUUGGAAGCGGUGUUUUAAGGCUUGCGCUCACUCCUCUCACUCUUAGAAGCACGGGUUGAAGUCUUGUUGUUGGCUUAGAGGCGCUAGUGGAAUACCGAGUUGACGAGUUGAGGCAAUCAGAUCUCUGCAGCAGUCUCAGUGGCAUUGGUACUAGACCUUAGCUACCCGGUUUCAGGCACCAAGCAACUACUAAUGACCAAGCCGAUCUAGGCGGCCAAGUAACUACUAAUGUUACGCGGCAGCCAAUAAACAGUCAUAACGAAGUUAGUACAAUAGAUGCUUUCGGGAGUUGAGCUAAACGGUAGCGAGCCUUUUCCCUCGGUGAAGUCUUGUUUCAUAUAUAAGGAGAUUCUAAAUGAACCGCCAAGACACGACUACACCUCUGGCUCAUCCAACUCAGGUAUUUUAUUGAACUCCUAACUCAGGUACGAGCAAUUGGCCGAGUACUUUUCUAUAUUAUUUGUGAUUUGAGAAAUUGAUUCAUCCCACAUUUCUUCCAAAUCGAUUCAUCCAUUGGAUUCUUAAGCCCAGUCCACACUAUUCUUUAGUUCACUACCGGUAAGUCAACUCAAUCUAGACUACUCUACUGGUUGGGCAAGCUCACUCUAGACUACUCUACUGGUUGGGCAAUCAUCUUGCGUUUUCCCGUGUUUUUUCGUAGCGACUAAGUUUUCCCUCCUGAGUGACAAGAUGGAAAUGAGAUUUGUGCGGGGACUCCUGCCGCAUCACCGAACACAUAGGGAGUAAGAGAGCAACCAAAACGGUUUAUUUGCUUUUUAUUAUUCCAGUUGAGUUUGAGGCCUUGGCCCCGGGAUUUUUCAUAGCAUUGUCAUUUCCCUUCCUGGACCGAUACAAAGUCAUUCCCGGACACAGGACUUGCUCAUAACUCCCUAACGUCCGUUAUUCGUUGCUGCCGCGCAACUUACGUAGUUGCUUGGCCGUUUUCCCGGGAUUUUUCAUAGCAAUAUGUACUAGUCUCUUACCGAUGAGUUUACCUCGGCUACUGGACCUCUCCUCUGUCUCCACAAACACAUAGCAAGUAGGCAAACUAGGUAAGCGGAGGCUGGCUCUUGAAACUCUCCUCUCAUCCUAUAUACCUCUGCUCUGGCUCCGGCUACUAAUCUAACUCGACUCUGGCUCACUUGCAUUCUUAUACUUACUGGUUGCAUUCUGACUGCUGUUACUAAUUCUAUGCAUCUCUACUUUCUUUCCUUCCCGCAACAGAACAAGUAGACUACUUUCACAAUAGUCAGAGGAUCGGUAGGCAAGAACUGGGCAACUGUUUGACUCGGUGCUCGACUCAGUGUGUUAGUUAGCCUUAUAAGGAAGUCCUCAUUUUGCCUGGAGUGGAGACUUUACUGCUCUGUAAGUAAGCAUUCGAUUCGGCUUCGGCUGAUGAUCCUUUUUAUGCUCCUGCUUAUGGUUAUCUACCACUUGCCUCUCCUUACUUACCUAGCUCGAGCUCUAGACCUAUCCUUUGUUUUAGAGUUAUGAGCAAGUCUUCCUCAGUCUAUGUUUUCGGGAACUAACGCCAACAAGAAUCAAAUCGAAAAUGCAGAGGUAAACCAGCGCUUAUGAGAAUCAAAUACAGAAGUCAGAAGUCAACUCAGCGGUAUUACCAUCUGAACCAGGACCUAAACUCUGAAUGGCAUACUUUAACUCGUUGGGUGGGAACUAAGACGGAAAACCCUAAUUAUUAUAUUGAAACUAUCAACUAGGGCUUUCAUUACCGAUACUAAGCUAAGAUUAACCACUACUCAUAAGAAUAGGGCUGUGUCGUCGGGUAACUAGGUUCACUAUCUUCACUCGGAUUCUUUAACAUUGACAUAGGAUCCUUGCUUGCUCUCAACCUUACACACCACUGGGAGCAAGAACUAAACAACUUAUUAUCAUAUUGAUACAAGAUAAAGGAAAUACGAGAAUGCAUCUACUACUGAUAAGGCUGAUAUAUCGCACAAAACCUCGGAUAACAAGAUCUUAACUAGCAACAGGGAACGCCCCUGCCGCUACUCUAUCCAAGUAUUUCUUUAUUACUUCAACAAUACUCUAAGUAUUUCUUUAUUACUUCAAUACUUUACGGGGUCCCCAACAAGAAAUCAAUCUCUAAAGAUAUUUCAUUCUUUUAAUCAAUAGUAGGAAAUCAACUCAGAACUAGGGCUUAACUAAACCAGCAAUACCUUAAACCAAUACAACUAAGUAUAAUAGGAUAGGAACACCUCGGCUUUCGUUUCGCUAUUGAUAUCAAACCUUAGCUUCUAUUGCUUACUUACAUGCUUUAAAUACACUGAUUCGGAUCCUUUAACUAGUGCUUUUUGAGUUCUCCAACUAACUACUAUCAUUACUACUAUCAGAAUUGAGCACGUAACUAACAGACCUAAACUAAGAAGUGAGCCUGAAACUCAAGACCUUCAAGCUUCCAAUACCGCGGGCCUUGCAAACUACCAACCACCUCUCACUCUGAAACUUCCCCUCUUUGGCGCUGUGCCAACCUGACUUUUAUUUGUCCCCUUCUUAUACUCCUGUCCUAAUUCCUAUAGUUGUCCAGAUAGAUUCCAUCCAUGCCUUGAACCCUGCCACUCAUGCCUACUAGGCUUACUAUCCGACUCAAAAGUCAUAAAUAAACUCAUGACUAGGAAAUCGACAUAGGGAAUUUCUGUAGGAGAUUUCAGAAUGGAACGAGUGUGCUCCCACAAAUAUGGAGCUCUAAGACCGCUAAUCCAUAUUAGAUAAGUCACCGUUUAAACGCAGAAUGCCUAUAAGGAAUAAUAGACUAGAUGCAAGGGGAGAGGUAGCCUUGGAGUCAGUAAAGUAAGCAAGUCAAGUAAUCCUGACAGGCAGUAAAGGCAUACUCCAAAAUCUUAAUGAGAAAACGUAGUAAUGGGAGAGCGUAGUGUCAAACUUUCGCUAACAAACAGGACUUCAAGUUAGUAUAUCAAUACUUAGAGUUAGGGGCGACAGGGCUAUGUAAGGUAUAGUCCGUUUUCACUACUGUGCUAAUAAACUCAGCUAGAGCAUAGGCAUCUCAGUCACAAGUAUCAGUUUUGUGGUAGAAAGGAAUACUUUGAAACUAAUAAGUCAGGAUCCGAGUCGGGAGUUACAGAAAGCAAAUACUAAGUAUUAAUACAAAAUCAAUAGUCUAGUGGGGUAGCUUCGUUACAUCAAUAUAGUCAGGGUGGUUUUACUGUCAAUAGUCGGUUUUUCUAUUAAUACAAUAAUACAAGCAAUAAAAUAAGAAUCUAAUAGAAUAUAUAGUUGGUAUGGUUUUUCUUCUAUUGAUACAAUUGAUACAAGCAAUAGUGGAGUGAGUGGGUUCGUUCCAUCACCGCUUCCUUGCAUUAUGUAUUGCUGCUUUCAACCUACUACUAUGUUAUUAACACUAUUAGAAUCGAACCAAUGUCAAUGAUACUUUAACUGGAAACUAGGGAUUAGAUCAGAUCAGUACGAGCGGGAAUCCAACUCAUAAGGAAUAGGAUGCACAAGAAUAUAAAGAAGCAUUAGCAAUAAGAUCAGUAUUAAUGGAAUACGGGGUAAUUCUGGCUUAUGAGCUUUCAACUGGGAACUGCUACGAGAGAGGCGGACCCCCACUUCCAAAUACAGAAUGAGGAGGAGGUGUCCGGAAACAGAAUCUUUAUUGUUAAUACAAUUACAACGCUGUAAGAAUGGAGUGGUUCAAUAAAGAAUGGAAGGUAGGAGAGGCAGCCUUAGCUAUGGGAGGGCACAGUAGGAGUUAUUGUCGGGUGAGGUAGCCUUUGAUAAGGUAGAGCAAGGUUGUAGUGUCGUGUCGUUAUCCGGGUUCAUAGGCUCGAAGGCAGCAGGGGAGGGUUUCAAAAGGAAAAUAGGUCAUUAGAUAGGAAGGACAGGCUAUUACUACUGAGGUCAAUACCUAUUUUAGAUAAGUAGCCUAAGAGCGGCAGAAGCCAGUAGGGGACUCACAAGUCUAUAAGCAAGGAUACAAGACAAGGUAAUUAGAAUAGGAAAAUGUUAGCUUAGUCAGCCUCAUGGUAAGAUAUAUUAGAUUUGAAGCAAGGCAGGACAGGAUAGGAGAAAGUAGGGGCAGACUACUAAGUUCAAUACGAAUAUGAGGUCGGGAAAAGGCGGGAUAACAGUUCGGAUUGGCGUACCAAUAAUAGAGUAGUGGAUAUCCGGGUAUCAAGUGGAGUUCUUCUUGGCAUUGGUUGACUUGUCUUACUUAUUAGUGGAAUUGCUUAUAUCAAGGUGAAGUCAAUCUUACACGAUAAGGAAUCAAAGCUAGUAGAUCCAUUCUCAUCGGCGCGAGUUGGAUUCCGCCCUACCUAAGGAAAGCAUUCUGAUAAUUGCUAUUGGAAUUCUUUAUUACCCCCCCGCCGCUCCUCCUUCUCCUUUAGUAUAGGAUCUAAGUUGGUCCUUCUUUCACUAAUGAUCUCAUAGGAUCUAAGUUGGUCCUUCUUUCACUAAUGAUCUAACCAUUAAUCUAGUAGUUCGCGCGAGGGACUAUCCUUUCUAUCGCUUGCGCUUGCUUUGAACUCUCAAGGCAAUCUUAGAGAAAGCGAAGCAAAGCGUAUUCCGCGAGAGAAACACACACGAACACGAUGCAGGGCAUAGCAUAAAUGAGACCAGACCGCUCAUAAAACAUAUAUUAUAUGCUUUACCUUUAUCGAUGCUUUUUGGGGGGUGACUCACCAACCGGAGUGAUCGAUUACAGAAUGGUACGAACAAAUAAAAGUCAUUGCUGUUAUCCAUUGACUUCUCUCUUAACCCCUUUGCAUAUGUUUCUAAAUUGGUUUGCACCUCAAUAAAUACGGGCUUUUGGCUACUCCCACUCUCUUAUGCUGCAUUUAUUAGCUUAGCUGAGUUAGGUACUCUCUUAUGCUGCAUUUAUUAGCUUAGCUGAGUUAGGUGGAUCGUGCAAUAGGCCUCUCUCGACCCUCCCUUUAUCAUACGUCUUUAUGAAAGCCUCUUGCUCAUCAACUACUCAGUAAGAUCUUCUUGUUUGUGAUUUUGCUUCCCUUAACGGAUUGGAUUGGCAUUUCGUGCCUGCUGCCCUGCGGAAUUCUACCUUUUAUCCGCUGGUUGGUUGGGUGGAUCGUCUAGAUCGUCCUGACGAGGAUUAGCAAAUCUUUCUCUUUUUUCUCAAUUUAUCCGAAGUGCGUCUUGAUCGAUGGUCCCCAUUAGCUUUAGUGCCAAUUAGCAGCCGAUCUUUGGGGGAGGUUCUGUGUGAUCUAGGAUUUUGGGGGAGGUUCUGUGUGAUCUAGGAGAAAACCCCUCUGCCCUGAAUUCCUUCAAUGUCGCACCUACUAUCAAAGACUGAAUGAUCCAAAGGGAUAGACAUCGCCAUCGAUCCCUCACCCCGCUGCUAAAACUCUGCAUCCUGAUCCAGCUGACUUCCCCGAGCUACGCAGAAGGAAUAAACCUAAAACACUUUCUGAAUCUUCCGGCAGUAGCAGAAGACAUGAAAGUCACUCGCGCUGGGCAUCGAAUUCGGGUAUCAUGAUCCCGUAGGCCCUGAAAGAACUGCCCGAGGACCCACCUAUUUACGCUUCAUUCCGAUCCCGCACUGGUUUGGAGAGCUAUUGAGACGAAUCCGGGCUCAUGUUUGGCCCUAUAUAGGUGUUUGCUGGGGGGUUACAAAAUCCGCUGAAACGAAAAGAAAACGAGUCCCUAGUAAUCCGAAUGGAGCUUCGUAUAGUGCGCAACAAGGUGAAAAGUAGACUUUCGCAUGCAGAAUCUCAGGAAUCCUACACUCUAUGGCUACGAUGAUAAAAACAUCUGCUUGUUACUAGAAGUAAUCAUUAGGAAUCAUCAACCAUCAUACAAAGGGCUUUUUGAUUUCGUAUGUUAGAUCCGUCCUCGUACUAUGGAUUGGGGAGAACAUAAAUUGCUCGAUACGUGAUCUUCCUUUCAGUGCCUUUUCGGGUCUUGUCUUCUUGGUCAAGCUUACUGCCCGGCGUGCUAAUGAGCGAAUACUUUCUUACUGGGGCAAAUCUUCUUAUUGAUGGUUCCGAUGGACAGGAACAGGAAUUGUCAUAACGGCCAAGCAACGUGACAAACGGUAAGCCGUCAGGUCAAAGUAAGUAUUUUCGGAUUGCCUUCUCCAUGACAGCCUUCUCAUUUGACAAUAACAAAUGCAAAUAGACUUGACCUUCUGCUUGGGUAAUUAGUUACUGCUGGACCCUUUGCAUAAUCAUUUAUUAUUGACUUCUCCGUAAUCGAACCUGCCAUCCACACCGCCUCUUCCCCUGUUUUGUUUAGGACCUGGCAAUGGAACUGACUUAUGUAUGGUAUUGUCUCUCCAUGAUCUACGCGCACUAGCUUUCUCGGCGACUAAUGCCCUUCCGCUCAUCCAUUGCCUAUGGUCUCUGGUAAGUAGUCUAUAGUGCACUUUCGUCUCUUGCCUGCCCUCUUAUACUUAGUUCUUAUUUAUUACUUCUUUCGUGGUGCGGACUCUCCGGCUUGCUUGGCUAUUGAAUGAAUCUUAUGCUUGUCAGGUCCACUCCUGGGUCUUAUCUUGACUAUCGUCUACUUCGGUUACUCCAACCCCGGAAACAUUAUCUCUUCCACAAACCUCUUCACCUGAACUUCCGGAGUCCCUAUCUAAUAGUACCUAGUCUUCGUCUUUACGGUUGGCCACGCUUAAAGAUGGGUGCCCCCCACUGGCUAAUAGUGAUGACAGAAACAGUCAAUAGCAACAGUGCCCGCUUAGGCCUUCUGAAGCAUAUCCACGAAGUGGUAUUCCCGAUGUAGUAGGCUUAGCCCCAAAGAAAGAGGCAAGAUGACUUAUGUAUGACUGUUUGUUGUUAUGUUUCGUACUUUGAAACUCUCGCUCGAGGAAACAGAGUUUAGUAUAUGCGUAAUGUACUAGCUUGGCUUUGUUAUGUUCCAAAAUAGGGCGGUAAGGAAUCAAUAAAAGUGGUUGGGAAGUGCCCGGCCAUCUACUAUGAGCUACUAGUAAUGCUCUAACCCGUAGAAUCACAACAGUUCUCCUUUCAAAGCAGUCGAGCGGACAACCAGAGAUCGUAAAAACCUCCCCAAUCAAUAAAGACUUCCGUAUGCAGAGAAGUGGAGUGGUAAUUAUGGAAGCAACAAGGCUAGGUUACGGUCGAAAUGGGGAUAUAUGCGUUCUCUCAAGCUGUUAAGAACAAGACCAUACUAUAAGCUAUCGAUCUUGAGAUAUAAGGGGAGUGCACCACCGCCAAACAAUCUAUCAUCCAGCGGUGAACAACCAAUUCGACGUUGCGUUGAUUAGGAGAUGGGGUUCCGAACUUAGUUGAAAAGCUAAUGGGCUAAUAGAAGGGGAAGGUCAAGUUAGGGACAGAUGGAAGUGGCUAACGCCCUUUUCAAUAGGAGAGGUAGGGGCGCUUAGUUUAUACCCACCCCUAUGAAAUAAAGAUGUUCAAACAAAUGCAUGACUUAUAGAAAUUCUCCUCAACAUUGAUUAUUGCGAGAAAGCCAUACCUCACAUUCCAAGUCAGUAAAGCCCAUACCCACAUAUGGCAAUAGAACCCUAACCUUGCGUGUGGAAGUAAGCCCAUAUUGUAUGGUCAAACUCACUCUUUUCAUGUGGGGAACGGUAAGCUAAUCAGUAUACUAGAAAAAUCCACAUCGCUUGGCUGCCUUAGGUUUGAAGGGUCCAUGAAACACACACCACCCCAUGAUCAGUUGCUUCGUAGCAAGCACCAAACAUGGUCUUUCCCAAUGCAUACAAAAAUAGCUCGAGACACAGCGCCUGCCAUGCAAAACGGGAUAUCUCUUACGAAACUCAUAAUGUCAAAACGAGGUAAGCCUUUGCCUGUGCUUUUCACAAAGUAUGAAAUGAAGAUGACAUUUACUUCAGCUUAGUAAAAGCAUUUUGGACAUAAGGAUUCAAUCGCCCAAAAGUCAUAUUCUACCCGCUAUACAUCAUAUCUUUCGGGAAUAGGACAUAAGGCUGAUGUAAGUAGGGAUUAUUCCUCCUUAACUCUUUAAUGGCGCUCUCGAAUUAAGGCGAUCGCAGACUCCAUUGAUGGGCUGAAAUUCCAAAGGGUAGCGCGGUGCAUCUCUUGCAUCAUCUGUCGGCCCGGCCCCGAUUCCAUUGUGGAUGGGAUAAAUAAUCCCCGCAAAGGCAUUUUUCCAAUCUUAGGGUGUUGAUACGGACCUACAUAUGGAACAACAAUUAUAUAAAGACAACAUUGUUUGUUAUAUAAAGACAACAUAGUUUGUCCAGCGAAAACUCAUUCUGUUGUCGCCUGCUCGCUACGAUACAGGCCCUGACAGUUCCAACUUAUUUAUCUAGCCUCUGUUACAAAUAACAAAGCAAAGUAAGUAACAACGGCUCUGUAAUAUGCACAAACAGAACAAGACUGUGAACUUAACAAUACUAACCUUAUGCUGCGAGGUGGCCUCUGCUUCUACAGCAGCAACCCUCUUCACCAUCGCCUCUGUAGACUCUCCGCAACAGCCAAGGCCCUUUUUGACUCUUCGCCCUGUCGUAUCUCGCCCUAUUGAAUAACUAACGUGUUCUUCCACAUCAGAAACAUGAUCUUUGGGCUUCAAUGUAAUAUGGGCAGUUUCAGAUCCUUCCUCAAUAGCCUCGGUUAGCAUUUUCUCAGAAACCACCUUUUGGAUCCAGCUCAUAAUGUAAUGUGAUUCCGACUCUGUGGCCGGGACAACUAGAAUUUGAGGUUCGACGGUCGAUUAGACCUCUAGCUCAGAAGCCUUCUCCAAUGAAACUUAUUCCACAAAGAAUGGAAUCUAUCUUCGACUCUUAGUACUUACUCACCUGCUCUUGCAACUUGAACCACCUCGAUUCCUUCAUGCCCGGAUGUGUUUCCCCCGAACUGGUUCCGCCUUGACGCAGCUAGGACCAGACUCCCUGUACCACAGUAGUUGCUACCGAGCCUCAUCACUCAUUUCAUAUUUCUAUCUUUGCAGCCGCUUAUCGGAGCCCGCUCCCACUUCGGAAAUUCUCCUCUUUUGGAGUCCCGAGUAACAGCCUGUUUUCCAGAUGGGUCAGCUAUUCGAAUGAUGGGCCCAUGUUUUCCCUUGCUCCUCUGCUAUGUUCGUCGUAUCCUUUAGCUCUAACAGCCAGAUCAGAAAUCAGAGUUUUUCUCAGUUGCAACAGCGCCUCUGAUAGCGCUUUUACAUGGGGGCCUCUUAUAACCGUCUCUCUCUUGAGCGCAUUACACCAAAAAGGAGAUUCAUGUCCUGUAGUAUCAUUUUGGGUCAUUCCCCAUACCUAACAGCAAGUCUCUCUCGCUCUCUCAAAUCAUCCCAUUUGAACUCUCUUGCUUUUCCUCCUGAAUCGAAUAGUCAAAGCGAGUGUCUCCAUGGCGUUUUCGUGUUCUUUCUUUCAUGUGCAAUAAAGUCAGAAUUGGGGAUCAAAGAAAGUGGGAUUUGAGCGAUGCAAGUGCAUUAAUUCUAUUGUACUUUACUUUUCGUCAAAUUGACCUCAAACAAGAAAAACCACUCCAAAUGUUUGUUGCGGUUUAGAGCAUUUUCACCUGAAGAGCUGGUUGACAGCGGUCUAGUCAGUCCCUCUCGCUCUUUGAUAGAAAGAUUUCGGGUUUCAUCCGAAAAACUGCUUUAUGUCCUUCCUAUCCUUCCUUGCUUAAGUAAGGUUUAUGAAGGAGUAGCGGCCUGUGUCUCCAGCUCUGGGAUAACUUUACCUCUAGCUAACCUAGAGAGCUUUACUCGGGCAGGCACUCUUCUUCGGAAAGAGGAGUCGCUUUCCUUACCAGCGCAGGAAGUUAUAGCAAUGGGCAGCUAGGCAAACGAAGAUUAUAUAAGAGAUUUCAGGAUCUGUUUUUAGUAAGGACAACCGGAUUGGGACGAUUAGGUCGGUAAGCCCAAUAGCUUCAAAGUCUUGCUCCAUUUGCCACAAAGAAGAAGUUGUCGAUCUCCCGAGCAUCCCGUGAACACCCACUUAAGGCCUUUGGGUCCUGACCCUUGGAGCCAAUUACUAUAAGUAACCCCAUCGUGUAUCAAUCAGUUCGACCACGAUCUCGAUUCCUCCAUACGAUCGAUCUAUUCCAGCCCAUGAAACAGCCCUAAAUUCCUUAUUCAAAUGCACAUUAGGAAAGCGGAUGGCACUACUCUUCCUACUUACUACUAUCAGCAGCAGCAGUAAGUAAUAGGCUUGCUCAGUCUCGUAUGGGGUUCUGUUGAGUAAGAGUGGAGUUCGGAAUGCGUAUGAGGCCAGAGCAUAACAAGCCUUCGAGCUGAUACAGCCUUGACUCCGAUGUAACCUACAUGUACUACUUUGACUUUUCAUCAUCUAAAAAAGCCUACUAUUCUAUUAAGUAGCAUUCCGUUCUCUGUUUGCUAGCACCGUUCCCCACCACCCUUUUGUAGGACACCAGCCAGGUCACUAAAGUCUCAUUGCGUACCGUCUUCAUCUGAUUGCCCAGUUUGAGUGUUGUCUCUGAGAUCAGUAGAGGAAACAGAAUCAUUAGCUAUGUAAGAUAGAAUUCAGGAAUAAUUAGCUAUGCCGGAUAUAGAAGAGAAUAGAGUCACAACUACCACUCAGUAAGACGAAAACUUGACUAGUUUGAAACUGCCCUUAAUGCGUUUAUUAGCUUGUGCGUUGCUUGUUUCAUUCCAUAAUGGAGUUCUAGUUUGCAUUUCCUCCUUUCCUUUACUUACAGCAAAACAGUUUGUUAACGGUACAGCACAGCAGUAUGUUCAAUCAUACCGAAAUAGGGUUUCCAUUUCUGAUAUUAUUUCUCGAAGAAAAGAAGCAAACCCUUCUUUAUAGAUUUGCAAUGGCCAGGCAGAAGAAACGGUUUUUCGGUUUCCUUUCAUUUCAUCCCACUCCUCUCCGCUCUUACUGGGAUUCCACCACUGUUUGGAAUUACCCCCAUCUUUUUCCUCACUAAUGAUCCGAGAAUGGUUUCCAGGUAUUUAUGAAAAGGCUCAUCUUAGUCCAUAUGAGACUAGAGUGGAGAAGUGUUUGGCUAUCAUGACUAUCAAGGGGCACAUAAGCAAACUAGAGGGCAGAUAAUCAAACCCAUUGUAGUUAUCAUCCAUUGGAAGGAGGCUUUGGAUGCAUGUGUGCUAUAAACAGGCUCUUAGCACCUCGCUUGUCUUUGCUAUUCUUUUCUGCUACAUAUAGUAGAGCGGAAUUCUCUUUACUACUUUGGAAGGCCCCUCGAUCUCCGACGCCUAAUCCAAUCUCGAGGUUACUUUCGUCGGGCCGGGCUUGCUGGGAUUAGUUAGUUUCCCGCUGUCAACAGUCAACAUCACCUGUAUGCUCUCCUCAUUAUAUUUCAUUGGGUAUGUGUUUAGACCAUUCCAAAGUGGUUUGCUUCUGCUUUAGUCUCCUGAGCAUACACCCGUAUAAGGUAGCAACGACUCUUUCUUCGCAUAGGUUGUGUAUCCUGCGCUAACCUAAGAAAUAUUUGAUGAAAAUCACCCCUCCUCCUAAUCCUCUAAUCAGGUACAUUGGUGAUGGCAACAACAGGGAAAUUGAGAUUCUUUUCAUAGAUUCUGCCAUGCUCGGCAUACAAUCUGAACUCCCACCCCCCUAAUGAAUUUGGAGUAUAGUGUUGUUAGCAGCAGCGAGAGAACCUUGCAUGUAAGUUUCCCCCUGCGAAAGCCUCAUUAUUAGCAAUGUUCAAUUGAUCAAAAAGCCAUAAAUCGUAGUGGUCGUGUGCCUCCGUGAAAUCAUGCAUUUUUCCACUAGCGAAAUAGAUGUUCAGUACGCUAUUAAGCAUUUCUAAGAUGUUGCUCUUUUGCGUACUUGGUUCGCCAUAAAGCAAUAGCAGCUUUGUAUUUAUGGGCCUAUGAAAGAGAAGAUGACAGGCAACCCCAUCUAAUAUCCAAUACAUCUCCUUUCACUCAUCAAUUGUAUAUUCCAUCGGCCACCCCUUUUUGUUAAGUACUUUUGGAUUCUCAUCUGUAAAUUGCUCUCUCUGUCUUUAAUUACUCUUAGAUCUUCAAAGAUGGCUUUAAGAGUAUUAUAGCAGGAUAAGAUUCUGUUCCGCAACUCAGGAUCCUCAUAUACUUUAUACCUGUCCUCUAGGCAAUUUCGCUUUUUCAGAAUUCUUUCGUUUAUUUCUGGGCUCCCCCUAUAUAGCUUUUGAAUAAUGAUAUCCUUCCUUUUAGGGCUCUUCCUAUGUUGCUUUUUAACAUAAUCAAGUAUUUCCUCUGAAGCAAGGUAAGAAACAAGAUCUGGAGAGGAAGCAAUUACUGGUUUUGCUGAUCGAAUAUGUGCUGAGAGGCGUCUAUGUGCUUAGAGGGGUGCUUCUCCAAAACAAUAGGAUCCUUAGAAUCUGUCUGCUUCUCCAAAACAAUAGGAUCCUUAGAAUCUGUCUGCUUCUCCCAAACGCCCAGCCCUGUUUUUCACGUUACUGAGCGGGCAGCUCCUUACUCUCCACUUUAAGAAGACGAAUCGACAACACUUGAUCGAACUCCACUUACAUAACCGGAAGAUCCAGCUCUUUCCCCAGCAUCUGAUCUGGUCGACUUAGCGCUUGCUGGUUCCGUUGUUUGUGGAAUAGAACUCCUAACAUAACGUCUUGCUGCUUCCUUUCGAACCGCUGAUUCUCUUUCUUCCCUUGCCGACCUGUCCUCUUAAAUUCAAUGAAACUAUAAGGAUAAGGAGUGAAUGAAACUAUAAGGAGUGGCGAGCGGGACCCUACAUCCACUGUUUUCUUUUGACUCUGUCAAGCACAACAGCUGCUACUGACUUUUGACUGCCCGGAAAGGCUUUCUCGCACCCGUGAGUAGUUAGUUAUUAAGUAAAUAGCUGAGUUGCGGUAAGUCAUACUCUGAUCCUCUGUUUUCUAGCUUUCCUUCCGUAGUUACUUGGCCCGGACUCCUAUACUGGAUGCGCUAGAUCUACCCCUUACUUACUUGUCUUAUGAAUGCCUCCGCAAAAGCAGCAUUCCCUGAUAUCCAUACUAGAGCAAGAGGCAACUACAAGACCAGUGCCCUUAAUUCAUGCGUCCUCUCUGGCUCUUUCUCCUAACUCAGGAUGUAGUAACUCCUAUAACUCGUAUAACCUAUGCUUCAAAACUCACUCCUAACACCGAAGACAGGACUCGAUUUCUCUUCUCCAGCUUCUGUAUCAAAGCCAGUACUUUGACUGUUCGAGGUAAAGUGACAAGUGUAGUUACUAUUCCAUAGGUACUAUAAAUAGAAUACAAGGGCUCUUUCCACUCAAACUAUACUCGCUUGCAGAUGACAUGACUCCCACUUUGCUUCAAAACAGCUUACUGCUGGCUCCUUAGUGACAACACUAGUGAAACGUCUUGCAACUUACUUGCGCUACUCAGCCUUUACCGACUCAGUUGAAAACAUUCCCCCUACUAAUAAUAAUUCAUAGGACAAGGAAUAAUACCAGAGCCAAGCAGUAGAGUAGUUCAGUUUCACCUGUAGAGUAGUUCAGUUUCACCAGUAGAGUAGUCCUGUGUAAUUACUCCUACUUAUACUAUAAUACUAAUAAUAUGAUAAGGAUCAGUUCUCAAGUCAUCAGCGGGAGAAUCAGAAUCAUGAACUAUAGGGGUCUUCUAGAAGAAACAGAAUCAUUUGCUUGGUAUUCUAUAAGAGGGUAACUCACCCAAUAAGAUAGGAGCAGGUAACUCAUAGUAAUUGCUUGUCACGCUCUGCUUGUUUGGUACUCAAUAGACUCAAUUGCAUUCUGAAAUUUCAAUAGAAACUCUAUACUUGGUUGGCGAUGGAGAGGAAGUACUGUUUUUGCUUCCCUUAUUGGACUGGGUAUGGUACUAGAGCCGGUAUUCACCUCUGAUUCUUAGUAGGAUCAAACUCUCCUUUCAGAAGCACCCAAAGAUACUGGGAGUCAUGUUCACUUGUAUAUAAGGGGCCUCAACUCUGGUAUUUCACUGUCGCCUCUCCCUACUAUAUGAAAUGAAACUACUUUCCUUGAAGCCGACACCACUGAGUCUGGGCCUGGACCUUAAGAAAGGGAAGAUUACACCAAAUAACCACUCCUGUUAUGCGUGUCUGCAACCACAUCUAUUAUUAUUAUAUAUGAAGUAAUGAAGUAGCUUAUCUCUUUGUCUAGCAAAAUGAAGUAAUGAAGUAGCUUAUCUCUUUGUCUAGCAGUUACUUGGCGGGUGCUUCCGUGUUUGUUGGUAACGAGUAUCUUUCUUUUCUUGUGGAAUACCGAGUGGAAUCUGGAAAGCGGGGCUCAUCAGUUCAGUUCAGAAUUCACCGAAGUAGUAGUUCUCAUAUGAACAAUUCCAUUUCCAUUCAAUUAAGUACUAUUGGUAGGCAAGAGAACCAGUUAGAGCAGAGCCUGUAGCAAGUGGUAUAUUAGAGUAUAGUUCCAGUGAGUAAGGGAAGCUACGGAGUGGAAAUUCAUAAUUGUAGCCUGU
rnacentral:lncRNA from 1 species